AUAUGGUGACGCUUUUAUUGCAGCAAUCUUUGAAGUCGGUCAGGGAGAAAACUGUAACACCUCAAUAGUUCCACAUCGGAUAGAAAAUUUAUUCUGUUUAUAAUAUAUAAGGUCUACACACUAGUAAUAAUAGCUGAGCUUAAAUAUUUUGGGCAAGUGGUUUGGACCUAACAAGUUAUUAAUUAAAGUUUAACAAGUUAUUAAUUGAAGUUUCUAUUCAUUAUUUCGAUGAAAGAUCAACAAUCUCGAUAAUUCACGAUUCUUAUCGUUCACUUGAUAUAUUAAAAAUAACUUCUAAAACAAAAAACCAAAAAUUCAUUUUUAUAAGAAUUUUAAAUACUCUCCGUCAUAUCUUAACAACGCGCGACAUCAAUUCGUAAUCUCUAUCAUUAAAAUUCAAUUUAUAAAUACGGAGGCCUCCGUACUUAUAACAGUACGACAGCUGAAUUCGACAAAUAUUCGUACCUGGGCAGCGAGCAGCCGCGGGGCUGCCAUCUCCAAUGUUGGUAUCCUCUGUCUGGCCGCCCGUAGGCCUGACACUUGAGCUGGUCGUAUAUGUAGGGGCAGUCUUCCUCGCCGUACAGCGGCCGCGCCGCCUCGUCGUAAACCCAAACCCCCUCGAAGAUAUUGCAGUACUCCAUCUAUUCAAUGGCCUCAAUAUUGUUAGAAUUACCAUAUCCACCUCCAUGUAUUCCCUUGCACGGCAAUGUAAUAAUAAGCUAAACCAUUUAAAAACACAAAAGAGAGAAGAAACCGUCUCCGGUUGAUGCCGCGGGACGUCGGAGCUGAAGCUCCAGCCAUGGAGGAUGAACGUAAAGGCGGCGAAAGGGAGGACGACGGCGAAGGAUAAGAGGAUGAGGGAGGUGAAGGAGAGGAGGGGCUUCAUUUUUUUUUUUUUUGGGGGAAGCCUUGUUAAUUAAUUUGGUGCUUCUUUCUUGGUUAGCUAAUUAGAAUCAAGCCCAGGCCAAACUACAUUUAGAGUGUCUUCUUUGGUGCAAAGAGUAAAAGGCUAUAUUUAAGAGGAAUGCUCCAAUACACUAGGUAAAACAAAUUUAAUCGUUCAUAUUUUAAGGGCGAGAUUGACUUUUGCAUAGUGGUUAUCUGCUCAACAGGUUACCAUUCAUAAGGAUAAUAUGGAAAAAAAAAAUACAAACUAAUUACCAAAUUUGAUCAACCUUAUACAAAUAUUUGUUUUCUUAUUUAAUUUUGUUAAUUACCAAAUUAGAUAUUGCUAAUUUGAUAAGUAAUAAACCUUUAUAAAUUGAAUUUAAAAUUUAAUUUGAACUUAAACUUUAUAAUUGUGUACAUUAAAUUCAAAUUUAAUUUUUAUUUUUAUUUUCAGAAUGAAAAAAUUUAUGUUUAAAUGAAUAGUAUAUUUCAAUUCAAAUUGUUAAUUUGAUAUAUUAAAAUGACACGAAAUUUAGUUUCUUUUUACAGAGGAAAAAGGACGAUCAUUUGAAAUUUUUGGAAAGACAUAUUUGUGAUGAUAAAAUUGAUACUUCACUUAUCUUCUGUUAAAACAAUAAAAAGCGAGCUAAUGGUAACAAACAAAAUGAGCAAAUAUAAAUAUCACUGAACUUUAGAAGGAAUAAAUAUGAAAAUUUGAACUUUGUAGGGACAUCUACUAUUUCACAUGUUGAGAGGGAGCUGUAUGAAAUUAAUCUUUUUUUUUUAUUGGAGAAAAUAUAUAACGACCUCUGAACUUUAUAAAAAUCUGAAUUUUCAAUUUUUGCCAUUAUAUUUUUUUAAAAAAAGUUUAUUAGAUAGUUUAAAAUUUCUCUUCUUAUUUACACAAUUGUUUUAUUCGGAUGUCAUAUGCAUAAUUUUAUAAGAUUUCGAAAAUAUAAUUUGACCAUUAUAGUCGAAGAAUAAGUUAUAAAUCGAACUUUAAAUUUUAUCGCUUUUUUUACAUGUUAGAGUAUAAAAAAUACUUUCAAUAUUUUUUUCUAUACUGUGAAGCUUUAUAAAGCUAGAUGUGAUAUAUAUGAACAAAAUAAUUGUGUAAUUAAUAACUUUAAUGAAAGUGAGAGAUUUAUUGAACCAUUGGAUAAAAUUUAGGAGGCCCAAUUGUUAAAAUUAAAAGUUUAUGUGUCUAUUUUGCAAAAGAGCUAAAGUUUAGUAGGUUUCUAUAUAUAAUUUUUUUUUUUUUUUUUUUUUUCUUUUUUACACAAAAUAAAAUAUAACUGUAGAAAUUUUAAAUUUAAGACCUGGAUUAUUGUCGUUUUUCCCCGGGCAAAAUGCCUAAUAUUAAAUCUGAGCAAUAAUACACAAAAUAUUUGUAUGCAAAAAAUUAUGAUUUUUGGAAACUGGUCUAUAUUUAAAGUAUUUAAUUUUGUGUCUUUCUUGAAAAUUUAUAUAUCAUCGACUUUAAUAUCACCUGAUUUUUAAAAAACAAAAAUUUAAAAUUUUAAAAUUCUGAGUGGGCUUUUACAUAUUCUUGAUCACAUUCAACAUUUUAAAUCUUAAUUUUAAAAACUUAAUGUUUGAAUUUGUCAAUACUGAUCGGAUGAAGAGCAUUAUUAGAUAUGAUUUAGAAUAUUUGAAUUAUUCUGAAAAUUAAAUUUUAUUAAUUUAAAAUUUAUUUUGAAUUGCAUCAGGCAGCAUCGAAAUAGGCAGUUCAAAUUAAAUUUGGAAUUUUUUGCAGGUUUUCUUCUAAGGUUUGACUUCUAUUGUCAUGUUUCAUAAUAUUUACAAGUUUGGGGAUGUUUCGUUCUUUGAAAAAAUAUAAAAAAAAAGUUUAAGAAUUUUUUUUGAUUUUUUUUUUUUUUUGUUUUUAGUUUGUCCGGUUCUAAAAAAACUAGCUUUUUGAAAAUUUUAUAGAAGCUAGCGUUUUCGCUUUCCUAAAAAAUUCGAAAACCGAAAAUAUUAAUUUGUCAUAAAUUUUGAUUUUUUUUUCAAAAAAACUAAUUUUGUUUGAAACUACACGGAUAUAAUACAGCAACUGAAAAAAUAAAAGAAAAAACUUCAAAUACCAUCCUGUGGUUUCACAUUUUUUUACUGUGGUUUAAAGUGUAUCAAUUUAGUACCCUGUGGUUUUAUUUUUCUCUUUUUAUUAUUUGAUCCACUAAUUUUUUUUCGUUAAAUCAAUUACAAAGUUAAAACUAAAAGAUACUAAAGUGAAUAUUCGAUAAACUUAAGUGGGUAUCUGAAGUUUUUUAUAUAUAAUGUAACGAAAUAUUAACGGAGAAGUUGACGAAAAGAAAAAAAAUAAAACCACAGUGUAUUAACUUGAUACACUUUAAACCACAGGGUACUUAAGUGAGAAAGUGCGAAACCACAUAGAUGAUAUUUGAAGUUUACCCAAAAAAAAAGAACUAGUUUUUUAUAAAAAAAAAUUUCUCAAGAUUCUUUUUUCUUCCUUUUCCGACGAACCAAACACUCCCAAAACUUCUAUGAGGAGCUCUCAAAUGACGCCAGAGGCCCCCUGAUCAGGGACGGCGCUAGGACUCGAUCACGAGGGGAGCCAAAAUACAUGCAAAUCAAAAUUUUAACAAAUAAAGAAGAUUUAUCUAAUCAAACUUUUGAUGGAGAAAUAAAUAUUUUAUUUAUAUUAUUUCACUCAAAUAAUUUUAAAAUUUACUAAAUUUAAUAAUAAUUCAGUCAAUGAUUUAAUAUUUUAAUUUUUAGUAAAUACAAUUGUGACAAUUAGUUGACAAAAUUAUUAACUUUAAUAUAAUCUUUAAUUUAAUUAAAUAAAAAGAUUAUCUAAAAUAAUUAGAAGUUAUGAAGGUUUUAAAUAAAAAAUAAAAAUAAAUUCAGAGUUGAGGCGCCAAAAUUUUUUUUUAAAAAUAGGUCAGUCAAUAUAUUUUUGCAAUUAAAUAAAAAUAUAUUAUUUAAAUUUUUUAUAUGUGAAGGACUAUUACGCAAAUUAUGAAAAGUCUGAGGGGCCAUAGCUCCUCUCAGCCUCAUGGCUCCGUCCCUGCCCCUUGAUCUACCGCUACGUAUUAAUUUUGCCUACAUCUAAUAAUUUACUAUUUUUUAAUAUUAAAAAUUAAAAAAUUUAAAACUUGCAAAAAAAAAAAAAAUAAUUAUUGAAUAAAAAUAAAAAUGAUACUUGGUGACAGAUCAGAACGUCCAAGGAGGCUUCAUAUUCUCUCCCAUUACACUUUCAUCUUCUUCCUCGCAAACUUUUUCUCUCUCUCUCCCCCUCUCCGGUCUAAGUUUUUCCCAAGUUUGGCUGCAGGUUAGGCAUAAGGUAUUUGACGUUAUGCUGACUAUGAAAGGAGAGGAGUAGAAAUUGAGGGCGUGUUUGGCUCGCUUCUUUUUCACCCUGAAAUCGAAAUUGGAAUGGAUGAAUUCGUUUGUGGGUGUUUAAUACGCGGGAGUUCCAUUCCGAUUCCGAUUUUCAAGUGAAAGGGAAAUUCCUUAAUCACCUCUUUUCUUAAUUCGGUCUAGAAAGUCGUAUUGGAAAUUGAAUCCGGAUAGAAUGAAUAUUUAUUCGGAUUAAAUAUAUUUUUUCAACUUUUUUAAUUAAAAUAUGAGUUAAAAUUUAAAAAUUAAAUAUAUAAUUUUAAAUUUUUAAUUUGAACUUAAAUUAAAAAUUAAAAUUGAAUCAAGUAUUUCGAAUCUAACCUAUGAAUUUGAAUUUAAAUUAAAUUUUAACUUAUAUAAAGUUUUAUUCGAAUUUUAUUUCAAACUUAAUUAAAUUUAUAGAUUCAAAUUAAAAUUUAAAUUAUAAUUUUAAGUUUGAAUUUGAAUAAAAUCAAAUUUUAGUUUCAUAUUUUGAAUUAUCCACUCAACUUCAAACUUUAAUUUUUUUAAAAAAAUAGAUUUAAAAUUUGGACAUUAUUUCAAAAUUUUAAUGUAAAUUUUUAAUAUUUAAUUUGAAUUUAAAUUAAUAUAUUAUAAAUAUAAUGUUAAUAUUUUAAUUUGAUUAUGUUUUUUAUAUCCACCUGAACCAAACACUGACAAUGGGAAUGAUUUAUUCCGAUUCCGAUUCAGGUGAUGAACCAAACAGAAUUAGGUAGUGAGUCAUUCCGAUUCCGAUUCCAGCUUAUUUUGAUUCCGAUUCCGAUUUCGACUCCAACUUCGAACCAAACACGCCCUGAGUUUCUCUUCUCUCUUAUUAACGUUCACGCUUCGGGGGCGUUUGGAUAGACGAAUCUAUAGAUCCAACGUAAGUCAAGUGCAGUGGUGUUUGAGUUUUCCUGAAGUGUGAUUAUUUUGUUGUUGUUUGUUUUGAUGUAACUCGUACAGUCUGAAAGUUUAAUUCAAUUAUUUCUUCUGUUUGUUUUUAUGUAACUUGGUCCUGAUGAAAUUAAUUUUUUGAGUUUUAUUGUUUGUUUUGAUUUAAGUAAGUGAAUUCCGUUAUCUCCUAAAUAUAGUGAUAAAUUUAUCCUAAAAAAUUAAUUAAAUAUUAAAAUCUAAACUCUACUUUACAAUGGGUUAGAAUUAUCUCUUUACAAUGGGUUAAGAUUACCUUUAAAAUAAUAAUGGAGAGUUUAAUAAUUUAAUACAUUAGAUUUUGUAGGAUAAAUUUAUCACUAUAUUUAGGAGAUAACGAGAACCACUUAUUUACAUCAAACAAAUAAUGGAACUCGAAAAAACUAAUUUUACCAGCACCAAGUUACAUCAAAAUAAAUAGAAGAAGUAAUUGAAUUUAACUUCAGACUGUACGAGUUAUCUCCUAAAUAUAGUGAUAAACUUAUCGUUAUAAAUUUAAUUUAUUAUAUAAUUAAAUUUUUUAUUAUUGUUUAAAGAUAAUCCUAACUUAUUAUAAAUAAGAUAAUUCUAACCCAUUAUAAAGUAAAUAGAAUUUAGAUUUUAUUAUUUAAUAAAUUUUUUAGAGGGGGUUGUGUGUGGCGGAAGUCGAGUUUGGCAUUUUAGAGGAGAAAGUCGAGAAUAGGUGAAGUAAAGGUCUAGCGUAACUUCAGUUACACUAUAUUUUUGACUUAGAUCAAAACAAAUAAUGGAAGUGAUGGAACUUGACUUCCAUCCCUUCACUUACACUAAAACAAACGGACCUAUUUGGUUCAACGUAAAAUCAUAAAAAAUAAUUUUCGGUAGAAAAGAUAAUUCGAUGGAAUUUUUUUUUUUUUUUAUACAUUUUGUAGUUUUGUAGUAUUUGGUUUGUAGGAAUAUAUAUAUAUAUAUAUAUAUAUAUAUAUAUAUAUAUUCUUAAUUGGCAGCCCUUCGAUCAUUAGGCAAAUGAUAUCGAAAAAUCACAAAAUUUAUUUUCUAGGUACUUCAAAUACUCUAGAUCAACUCUUACGGAGGCAGCGAUCGUCGAUUCGAAAAGUCGAACAUUCAAAACAAAGUGGAGCACGGAGAGCUCCGUGCUUCCAAGCAUACCAGCAAACUCUAUAUAUAUAUAUAUUAUAUUAUAUAUAUAUAUAUUAUAUAUAUAUAGAGAGUAGGGUACUGUGCUAUUAGGAGCUUAGCAGCCUUGUGCUCCUAAGUUCUUAACCGCUCAUCAAAUUUGAUGGGUGUGUUAGGGUGAAUGAGAGAAGAGAAAUUGGAGAGGAAAUUCAAAGAUAAGAGAAAUGAGAACCAAUUUCUCCAAUUACUCUUUCUUUUUCACCCUAACCACCAUCAAAUUUGAUUGGGCGGUUAAGAACGUAGGAGCCACAAGGGUGCUGUGCUCCUAAUAGCACAGUUAGCCUACUCUAUAUAUAUAUAUAUAUAAUAUAUAUAUAUAUUCCUAAAACAACAUACUACAAAACUACAAAUGUAUAAAAAAAAAAAAAAAUUCAUCGAAUUAUCUUUUCUACCGAAAAUUAUUUUUUAUGAUUUUACGUUGAACCAAAUAGGUCCUUUUGUUUUAGUGUAAGUGAAGGGAUGGAAGUUAAGUUCCAUCACUUCCAUUAUUGUUUUGAUCUAAGAAAAAUAUAGUGUAACUGAAGUACGCUAGACCUUACUUCACCUAUUCUGACUUUCUCCUUAAAAUGCCAAACUCGACUUCCGCCCACACAACCCCUCUAAAAUUAUUAAAUAAUAAAAUCUAAAUUCUAUUUACUUAUUAAUGGUUUAGAAUUAUCUUAUUUAUAAUAAGUUAGGAUUAUCUUUAACAAUAAUAAAAUUUAAUUAUAUAUAAGUUAAAUUUAUCACUAUAUUAGGAGAUAACGGAAUUCACUUACUUAAAUCAAAACAAACAAUAAAACUCAAAAAAUUAAUUUCAUCAGGACCAAGUUACAUAAAACAACAGAAGAAAUAAUUGAAUUAACUUUCAGACUGUACGAGUUUUACAUCAAACAAACAACAACAAAUAAUCACACUCAGGAAAAACUCAAACCACUGCCUUGACUUACGUUGGAUCUAUAGAUUCGUCUAUCCAACGCCCCCCGAAAGAGUGAACGGUUAAUAAGAGAGAAGAGAAACUCAGGGCGUGUUUGGUUCGAAGUUGGAGUCGAAUCGGAAUCGGAAUCAAAUAAGCUGGAAUCGGAAUCGGAAUGCUCACUACCUAAUUCUGUUUUGGUUCAUCACCUGAAUCGGAAUCGGAAUAAAUCAUUCCAUUGUCAGUGUUUGGUUCAGGUGGAUAUAAAAAAAUAAUCAAAUUAAAAUAUUAACAUUUAUAUUAUUAAUAUAUUAAUUUAAUUCAAUUAAUAUUAAAAUUUACAUAAUAAUUUUGAAAUAAUGUCCAAAUUUUAAAUCUAUUUUUUUAAAAUUAAGUUUGAAGUUGAGUGGAUAAUUCAAAAUAUGAACUAAAUUUGAUUUUAUUAAAUUCAAACUUAAAUAUAAUUAUAAUUUAAUUUUGAUUUGAUCUAUAAAUUUAAUUAAGUUUGAAAUAAAAAUUCGAAUAAAACUUUAUAUAAGUUUUAAAAUUUAAUUUAAUUCAAAUUCAUAGGUUAGAUUCGAAAUACUUGAUUCAAUUUUUAAUUUUAAUUUAGUUCAAAUUAAAAUUUAAAUUAUAUAUUUAAUUUUUAAAUUUUUAACUCACUUAUUUUAAUUAAAAAGUUUGAAAAAAUAUAUUUAAUCCGAAUAAAUAUUCAUUCUAUCCGGAUUCAAUUUCCAUACGACUUUUCUAGACCGAAUUAAGAAAAGAGGUGAUUAAGGAAUUUCCCUUUCACUUGAAAAUCGGAAUCGGAAUGGAACUCGCCGGUAUUAAACACCACAAAACGAAUUCAUCCAUUCCAAUUUCGAUUUCAGGGUGAAAAGAGCGAGCCAAACACGCCCUUCAUUCUACUCCUCUCCUUUCAUAGUAGUCAUAACGUCAAAAUACCUUAUGCCUACCUGCAGGCCAAACUUGGGGAAAAACUUAGGACCGUGAGAGGGGGAGAGAGAGAGAAAAAGUUUGCGAGGGAAGGAUGAAAGUGUUAAUGGUGAGAUAUGAAGCCUCCUUGGACGUUCUGAUCUGUACAAGUAUCAUUUUUAUUUUAUUCUAAAUUAUUUUUUUUUUUUCUUGAAGUUUUUAAUAUUUUAAUUUUUAAUUAUUAAAAAUAGUAAAUUAUUAGAUGUAGGCAAAAUUAUACGUAGCUAGGAUGUCAAGGGCGAGGGCGGAGCCAUGAGGCUGAGAGGAGCUAUGGCCCCUCAGACUUUUCAAUAAUUUGCGUAAUAGUCCUUCAAUAUAAAAAAUUUAGAUAAUAUAUUUUUAUUUAAUUGCAAAAAUAUAUUGACUGACCUAUUUUUAAAAAAAUUUUGGCGCCUCAACUCUGAAUUUUUUAUUUUUUAUUUAAACCUUCAUAACUUCUAAUUAUUUUAGAUAAUCUUUUUAUUUUAAUCUAAUUAAAGAUUAUAUUAAAGUUAAUAAUUUUGUCAACUAAUUGUACAAUUGUAUUUACUAAAAUUAAAUAUAUUAAAUCAUUGACUGAAUUAUUAUUAAAUUAGUAAAUUUUAAAAUUAUUUGUGUGUGAAAUAAUAUAAAUAAUAUUUAUUUCUCCAUCAAAGUUUGAUUGGAUAAAUCUUCUUUAUUUGUUAAAAUUUUGAUUUGCAUGUAUUUUGGUCCCCUCAGUGAUCGGGUCCUAGCGCGCGUCCCUGAUCAGGGGGCCUCUGGCGUCAUUUGAGAGCUCCUCAUAGAAGUUUUGGGAGUGUUUGGUUCGUCGUGAAAAGGAAGAAAAGAAUCUUGAGAAAUUUUUUUUUAAAAAAUAGUUCUUUUUUUUUGGGUAAACUUCAAAUAUCAUCUAUGUGGUUUCGCACUUUCUCACUAAGAUACCUGUGGUUUAAAGUGUUAAGUUAAUAUCAUUGUGGUUUUAUUUUUUUCUUUUCGUCAACUUCUCCGUUAAUAUUUCGUUACAUUAUAUAUAAAAACUUCAGGAUACCACUUAGUUUAUCGAAUAUUCACUUUGUAUCUUUUAGUUUUAACUUUGUAAUUGAUUUAACGAAAAAAAAAUUAGUGGAUCAAAUAAUAAGAGAAAAUAAAACACAGGGUACUAAAUUGAUACACUUUAAACCACAGUUAAAAAAAUGUGAACCACAGGAUGGUAUUUGAAGUUUUUUCUUUUAUUUUUUCAGUUGCUGUAUAUAUCCGUGUAGUUUCAAACAAAUUAUUUUUUUUGAAAAAAAAAUCAAAAUUUAUGAAAAUUAAUAUUUUCGGUUUUCGAAUUUUUUAGGAAAGCGAAACGCUAGCUUCUAUAAAAUUUUCAAAAAGCUAGUUUUUUUAGAACCGGACAAACUAAAACAAAAAAAAAAAAAAUCAAAAAAAAUUCUUUAACUUUUUUUUUUAUAUUUUUCAAAGAACGAACAUCCCCAAAUUGUGCAUAUUAUUAUGAAACAUGACAAUAGAAGUCAAACCUUAGAAGAAACCUGGCAAAAAAUUCCAAAUUUAAUUUGAACUGCCUAUUUCGAUGCUGCCUGAUGCAAUUCAAAAUAAAUUUUAAUUAAUAAAUUUAAUUUUCAGAAUAAUUCAAAUAUUCUAAAUCAUAUCUAAUAAUGCUCCUUCAUCGAUCAGUAUUGACAAAUUCAAACAUUAAGUAUUUUAAAAUUAAGAUUUAAAAUGGUUGAAUGUGAUCAAGAAUAUGUAAACCACUCAGAAUUUUUAAUUUUAAAUUUUUGUUUUUUAAAAAUCAGGGGUGAUAUUAAAGUCGAUGGAAUAUAAAUUUUCAAGAAAGACACAAACUUAAUACUUUAAAUAGACCAGUUUNNNNNNNNNNNNNNNNNNNNNNNNNAAAAUCAAUAAUUUUAACGGCCGUGGUGAGCCGGUUGCAAGUUUAACGGUGUAGAAAUAUCCAAAUCACGUGAAAUUUUGAUAGAAAAUUCUUUAUACCAUAUAAAACAAGAUCAAUAACUUCGAUCUAAAAUUUUAAUGUCAUAUCAUCAUAUUUUGUGAGAUUUUUAUUUUCAGCCGUUGAUUUUGAGCCACUUCGAUCACUAGGCAAAUGAUAUCGAAAAAUCGCAAAAUUUAUUUUCUAGAUACUUCAAAUACUCUAGAUCAAGUCUAACGGAGCCGAUCGUCGAUUCGAAAGUCCGAACAUCGAAAACAAAGUGGAAGCACGGAGCGCUCCGUGCUUCCAAAAGCACCCUAGCCGCACUCUAUAUAUAUAUAUAUAUAUAUAGAAUUAGGAUGGAAUACUAUUAAUAGUAAAACGCUCUUUUUGUUAUCAAGUUUUUAACCCUUGGAUGAAAAAUUGUAGGGCCGGGAUGAUAUUAGUCAGUUAUAGUUGAGUUGUCCCCCUAGGGUUGAGUGGUCCCCACUGGGUUAUAGUAUUUAAUUCAAUGGUUAGAAAUAAUGAAAGAAGUUGAUCCAAAGGCUAAAAAACUGGUAGCAACAAUGAGAUUUUGCUACUAAUAGUAGCCCAGUCCAACUCUCUCUCUCUCUAUAUAUAUAUAGAAUUAGGCUGGAAUACUAUUAAUAGUAAAACGCUCUUUUUGCUAUCAAGUUUUUAACCCUUGGAUGAAAACUUAUAGGGCUAGAAUGAUAUUAGUCAGUUAGAGUUAAGUGGUCGCCCUAGGGUUGAGUGGUCCCCACUGGGUUAUAGUAUUUAAUCCAAUGGUUAGGAAUGAUGAAAAGAGUUGAUCCAAAGGCUAAAAAACUGGUAGCNUCUCUAUAUAUAUAUAUAUAUAUAUAUAUAUAUAUAUAUAAUUUUUCAUCAAUAUUUGUUUGGUUGAAAAAAAAAAAUUCAUAUUCGUUUGGUUUGUGAAAAAAAAAAUAAAAAAUUUUGAGCAGCUUAAGUUAUCAUUUUUCUACCGUAAGACAGUGAAAAACAAGAACUUUAAUUUUUCUCUAAAUUCAUAAAAAUAUUUUUACAAAAAAAAUAUUUUUACAAAAAAAAUAUUUUUUAUGUCAAAUCAAAUAAAUAAAAAAAUAUUUUUCAUAUUGAAAAUAAUUUUUCAAUUCGUUUUAUGGAGAACCAAUGCCCCUUAGCAUAUGUGCUUCAGGCAGUACAUUUAGAUGAAAACAAGUGGGUUAUGAACAACUAUUCAACGAAAUCAUAUUUGUAACAGUACUUUUAUUUUGCAUAUAAAUUCAUAUACAAAUAAGCGUUGAAUAUUAAAUUUUUAUUAUCAUAUUCGUUAAAAAUAGAUUUAUAAAUCGGAUAUUUAUAUCAGAAUAUUAUUCAAAUAAUAAUAUAGACUAAUAAGCACAUAUGGAUAUUUAUUAGAAUUGGUAAAUAUGCAACUAAAAUUUCACACUCAUUUUAAAUUUUUUUAUAAACCUAUAUUUUAUUGAAUAAAUCUAAGAUUUAACGCAUACAUACGUAAUUUUUAUAUAAAAUUUAUAAUAAAAUAACUGAAGAAUACAAAAACAAAAAAGUUCAGUGGAAUUUUUCCCUCAUUUUUUUUUUUCCACCAAGAAUGCUUUAUAAAACUCUUUGACCUCCGAAUUUGGAGUAUCCUACUUUCACGUGAUUCAUAAGGUUCAAUAAGCAAUUGAUAUUUCACAAUCAAAUGUGUAGUAUGCUUUAUAAAACUCUUUGGCCGUUUUCGUAUUUUUCUGAAAAAUUCGGAAAAAAACGUGUUUUUUCGUCAAAAAAUAAUUAUUCGCGAAUUAAUCGCGAUUCGCGAAUUAUUCGCACAAAAAAACGGCAGCGUCGUUGCCGCUCUCGUCGCCGCUCUUGUCGCCGAACUCGUUCGUGUCGUCAUCGUCCUCCUCCUCCUCUGCCGCCCUGGCCGGCGCCGGGAGCAAGAGGGCCGCGGCGGCGGAUCCCGUGACUCCCGUCUCGCUCGAGGGCGUUGGAUCUGCUCAGGUGAGCAGUAACAGAAAGAAAUGGCGCGGCGUUGUUGGAAGCGGAGAGGGUGUUGAUCCCGUGCCGUACAAGAGGCCUCUUCGGCCUCGUGGACCGCAUGAGAGGGAGGUCCACGGUGGACCUCCCUUUCAUAUAUAUAUAUAUAUAUAUAUAUAUAUAUAUAUAGUAGGGCUACUAUACUAUUAUGAGUAUUGGGCCCUUCGUACUCAUAAGUUGUUUUCGAUGAUGGAGCUUUCAAAUCGACGAUCCACUCUGUUAAAUAUCAUCUAGAGUAUUUGAAACUUCUAGAAAAUAAAUUUCGUAAUUUUUCGAAAUCAUAAUAAAGUCCAUCAAGCGGGCAUAAAAUGAAUGGUCUAAAUCGAACAAUGUCUUAAAAAUGGAUGAUCGGAUCCUUCAAUUUAAGAUCGGAGUUAUUAAUCUUUAUCUAGGUAGUGAAUAGAAUUUUCUAUCAAAAAUUCAACCUAUUCGGAUUUUUUUGCACCGUUAAACUAGCAAGUAUUCCAUACCGACCGUUAAAAAUUGUUAAUUUUGUGAGCUUUUGAUCUUAAGGUAAAUGAUGUCGAAAAAUUAUGAAAUUUGAUUUCUAGAUGUUUCAAAUACUCUAGAUAACGUUUAACGGUGUGGAUCGUCGAUUCGAAAGCUCUAUCAUCGAAAACAACUUAUGAGUACGAGGGCGAUCGUACUCAUAGGAGUACAAUAGUCGGACUAUAUAUAUAUAUAUAUAUAUAUAUAUAUAUAUAUAUAUAUACACUGUGUGUUUUCCAGGUACCAUGCUUUAAUUUCAUAAGUAUAAAGAAGUUGGCACUUCCGACUUUUUAGUGUUUUGAUCAAGGACUGUACAGUUGGAAUGAUGUUGAUACCUGCCCUAUGCUUGAGUGGUCCCCUUAGGAAAAUAAUAUUAAUAAAAGGGUUAGAAAUAAUCAAAUAGAUUGACUCAAAAGGUAAAAAACUUGGAAGAAUCAGCUGCUUCAUACUUUCAGAAGCACCCUAAUUAAACUAUACUAGUAUAGUAACCCGCGCGAUGCCGCAGAUAAAUAAUAGAAAAAAAAUUAAAAAAUAUUGAAGAGUAAGAAGAAAGAAGUUUGGAAAAUAAAAAUUCAAGUGUGUUUUAUUUUUUGGGUAGGAAAACGUAUGAAUUGAACUAACCAAUAUGGUCAUUGAAAAUCGAUAAUUGUCCAGAAUCAACAUUAAAAAAAAAACCCUACAAAAGUUGUAUGAAGAUGGAGAUAAUAAUGUUGCGAUGAUGACGACGAUGGUGAUGAAAAUCUGAUGAAAAUUUGCAGGAUUUUGCACCCUUUUGGGCAUGGAAUAAUCAAAAGUUGCAGGCCAAAACUGCCACAUCAAUUAUGAAAUAAAAAAUAACCUCUAAAAUAAUCAAAAUAAUGCAUAUAAAUCAAAUCCUUGAUUGAUACAAUUACAAUACAAAAAUAAUGCAAAUAAAUUAAAUUCUAAAUGAAUACGUAGUAAGAAUUCGAGAUUAAAAUAAAGAAAAGAAAAAAUUAGGUUUAGAAUUUUCGUUUUCCAAACCUACCCCUCGAACCGUCCAUUAUUGCUCUCCAAUUAGCUUCCUCUAUUGAAAAAAUCGUUCGAUUACCUUCUUUUUCUAUAAAUCCGAAGAGAUCGACAUUGAUAGAAACCCUAUAAACACUCUUUUGAUUCGGAGAGGGGGUUCGGGUCGAGUCGGAUUGGCACGGAUUAGGACUUGGAAGACUCCCUUGCUCUUUCUCAAUCUCUAGAUCUAAAAGUAGUAACUAUUCAUCUUCUCAUUUUUUAAUUUUGCAUGUAAGGAAUUGUUUGUGGGAGAAGAAAGGAUUAAUUUUGAAGAGGAAACGUAUAAAUUAAAAAGCAUAUUGAUUACAUGUCAUUGAAUAGAGAGGAGGGGAGGAGAAAAGCCAAGAAUAAAAAUCAAUUCAAAAAAAAUAAUUUUGAAGAGAAAACGUAUAAAUUAAAAAGCACAUUGAUUACAUAUCAUUGAAUAAGAGGAGGGGAGUGGAAAAGCCAAGAGUAAAAAUCAAUUUAGAAAAAAGAUUAGUGAGGGUGGAAAAAAACUUGUCACGUGGCAAAAUUAUUGAGAAUUCAUAUAGAGUAAUAUAUAUAUAUAUAUAUAUAUAGAGAGAGAGAGAGAGAGAGAGAGAGAUUUCAACCACAAGUACAAGCGAGCGAGUAGUAUUUGUGCUCCAAAUUCGAACCACUCUGCCUCAUCAGUGGAUUUUAAAUUAAACAGUUUUCAAAAUUCGAAGCAUUUAAGAUUAAUAUUCCGUAGUGGUGCUGAAUGACAUGGUCUCUAAAUUCAAAGCACUAGGUAAAGUAGUUAGCCCAUUAAGAAUUUGGGCUGAAGAUGUUCACCUAGAAAAUGCUUGCAUGUACCAUUAAUGGACAGGACAGAUAGCAAUUGAACAUAUAAAGGAGAACUUAACUAUUGGUGUGUAUGUGUUAUUAAUUUGCAUUAAUUAUGUUGAAGAGUGGUCAGUCAAAGUAAGAUAUGUUUAAAUAAAGGCUUUUCUAUUUGUAUAAUGCUUAUUAGUGGAUCGGCUGCAUACUUGUUGUACUAUGAUUGGCUGAUUUUACCACGUUGGUUUUGAGACAAUACCAUCACCAAUAAAAGGUAUACUUUUGAAGUAGCAGAAGAUAUCAAAAUAGUGAAGGAAAGGAAAAGAUCAAUAAUCAUAACAGAGAAUCAUAAAAAGGCACAUCAAGAGAUACGAUGGGGACAUAAGAUUGAUAAGUGAUUACCGUGAUUCGGGUAGCACCAAAGUAGCUACAUAAAAGAGGAUAUGUUGAUUCUUUUUACGCAGGCGAACGAGGGGUGUUCCGUAAUCUCGAACUGGGGCUCUCUUAAUUCACUUGUCGGCGAAUGAGAGAACUCCACAUCGUGCAGAGUGAGAGUAAUAUUGCAAGUUAAUUGCGCCGUAUUUGAGUUCGUAACAGCAUGAAACAGGUCGUGCAUGGAAGCCAACAAGAAACGUUGGUUAUCCAGCAAGAACCAAACGCUUGCAUUUCUCGCUUCUCUGUGCUCGGCUGUUACCUUUUCUUUUGUUUUGUCCUGGUAAUUGAGGGAUCUCUAUCUUCUAGCGGCUUUCUUAUCGAGUUAUAUAAAAUGAAAAUUUGAAAUUCAGCAGUGAUAUUUUCGUGGAUUUAUUAUUAUUAAUUUUUGACUGUAUAAUAAUAUUGUGUGUUGCGACUGCCACGCAUACUCUUAAACAGAAAAACUGUUCAAUAAAUCAAAUCAACUAGUAAUUGUUCGGCUUCCUUUUCUCUUUUUUUUCUUUUUUUUUUUUUUGUGGGUGUUACAUACCUUAGCCUGUACAGCCACCUGCUGUUCAUCCUUGAUUGCGUACGCUUACCGUUCAUCCCUUGAUUUGCGUACGGUCACUGUAUUUCGCAGCUUGUAAUGCUAAUGUGGAACGAAAUGUAUAUUACAUGUAACAGUAGCAGUGGGGCAAUAUAAUAGGGGACGACUCCUUCAAAGGACGCACUUGAAUAGAACGCAGAAGACGAGCAUCAGAGGGGUAAGGGGCUGAUGAACAUUUAUGAAAAGGAAGCAACCCCCUUUAGUGGCCCAAAAUCCAAUGGUGAUAUUUUUGGAGGAGAACAUCAAAACCAUUGGGGUCCAUGUNGCUUUCAUUCCAAUUCCAUGCUGCUAACUCAUCAAAGAGUACAUCUCGAGAAACAACAAGUUGAUUGUUUUUUGGAUUAAGAAGACGAUAAGCUUUAGAUUCUUCACUAUAUCCGAUGAAAACAUAUUUUUCACCCUUCUCAUCAAAUUUUUCUCUAUAUUGUGAUGGAAUGAGAGCAUAAGCAAUACACCCAAAAAUUUUUAGAUUUUUUACCUGAGGUUUUUGUCCAUGCCAAGCCUCGUAAGGUGUUUUGUUUUGAACAGCUUUUGUAGGAGAUCGAUUAAGAAUAAAAACUGCAGUAUUGACUGCUUCAGCCCAAAAUUGAUUUGGUAGUCCUUUUCCUUUCAUCAUGCUUCGAGCCAUUUCUACUAUAGUUCGAUUUUUGCGUUCUACUACACCAUUUUGCUGUGGUGUAUGUCGAACAGUAAGUUGCCUUUUAAUUCCAUUCUCCUUGCAGUAGUUGUUGAAUGAAUGAGAAGUAAAUUCACCUCCACGAUCUGUUCUUAAUAUCUUUAUUUGGUGGCCGCUUUGUUUUUCAACAUAUGCUUUGAAUUGAAUAAAGAUAGAAAAAGCUUCUGAUUUUUGCUCAAGAAAAUAUACCCACAUCAUUCUACUGUAAUCAUCCACAAAGAGAAGAAAACAUCUCUUUUGAUUAAAAGGAGGAGCUCUUGUAGGGCCACAAAUAUCUGCAUGAACUAGUUCGAGCGGAGCCUUUGCUCUCCAAGAUGUUUUAGUAAAUGGAAGGUGAUGUAACUUUCUGUAAACACAUCCUACACAAAUUUGGUCCACUUUAUUUAUUGACGGAAGACCGAAAACCAUGUUCUUCUCUUUUAAUAGAUGAAGUCCUUUAAAGUUUAAGUGGCCAUAUCUCAAGUGCCACAAAUAUGAUUCAUCAACUUUUUCACUUUUUAAUGCAAUAUUUUGCUUGGUUGGCAUGUUCAGAGGAAAAACUUUAUUUGGGGUCAUCUUAACAUUUGCUACUAAUGCUUUCUUAUUUUUAUCAAAAAUUUUGCAUUCACCUUUUUCAAAUAUAACUGUAUAUCCAUUUUGCAAUAACUGCCCAACACUUAGUAAAUUUUGAGUUAAGCCUGGAACAUAGAGAACAUCAUGAAUUAACCUUUUCAUACCUCCUUUUGUGUAGACAGCUAUGAGCCCUGCCCUCAAUCUGUUGUAACUUGCCAUUACCAAGCUUUGAGAAGAUGAAUCUUGAUGUAGAUCAAUGAAGAAGUCUCGAUUCCCUGUCAUAUGAUUGCUGCAACCACUAUCCAAAUACCAAGUUUCUUGUGAUUCAAUUCUUGUUGAGCAUUCAUGCAAGAGUAAAAAUAAUUGUUCACCGUUAUCUUCUUUAGAAAAAUUAGCUUCAUUUUUAUCUUUCUUAUCCUUAAACCAACAGUCUCCUUCAGAAUGGUUUGGAAUCUUACAUCUUUUGCAUCGAAAAUGAUAAUUUUUAGAUUCAUGUCCAGAUUUUUUGCAAAUAAAAUAUUGGGAAUUGAAGUUACCAUUUCUUUGAGUUAGUUGUCCAUUUCGGCCUUUACCUUUGCCACGAGACCAAUUAUCUUGAUUUCUCCUUUGGAACUGUCUUCUAUCUUUGCCAUUUGGCUCCAUACUUGUUGCUUUCCUCUCUUGGAUUUUUAGUUUGGAUUGAAUUGCUUGCUCCAUAUUUUGAUAUGUAAACCUGCUCAGUUCAUGCAAAGUAAAUAUAGAUAAAUCUUUCGAUUCUUCGAUUGCAGCAACAUUAUGAUCAAAUUUAGGUAGUAAACUUCUUAAAAUUUUCUCAACUAUAUUUUUCUCUUCAAUUGUAUCUCCAUAACUUCUUAUUUGAUUUAUGAUUCCGGCAACUCUCUAGAGCAAAAAUCUUUUAUAUUUUCAUUAUCUUUCAUGGCUAGAUUAUCAAAUUCUGCCGUAACAAUUGAAGCUUAUGAUGAUUUUGUCGGAGCCUUAGAACUCUUUUUUUAAAAUUUCUCAUGCUUCUUUUGACUUAGUUGCACCCAAAAUUCUAGGAAAUAUAGUUUUACUUACCCCUGUUGGAUGAAAAGUAGAGCUAGAUGUGUUUAUAAGUUUAUUUAUUGACUUUUUGAUGAUCAGAAAAAAAAAAAAUGUAGAAGGAUAAAGAGGUCAUAAACAAAUCGAUAUAUCAUCAUUAAGUGAACACGUCUGGUGUAGGCAAUAAUCUUUCUUCUUAUGAGCAAUGCUCCUAUGCACCAAAAAGAUCUCGGCCCUUAAAUUUUUUAAAAUGAACGGUGGAGAUGUCUUUUAGUUAAGAAGGUGACUGGCUUUUGUAGUCAUAGAUACCAGUCACCUUCCUACCAAGGGUAAAUUAUUUCCUCAUAUAUAAAAUGAGCAUGAAGGGCUCUUUUGUAAAUUUCUAUUUUUAUUCCCAUAAUGCCCUUCUAGUAAUUUGGUAAGAUAUUCCAUUUUAUUUUAGAAACUUUUCACCCACAGAUAUUUUCUUCGAAGCUAUUUUUCCUUUUUGGUUUUUUUUGUUGAUAGAGAAAUCCAUGUCCAAGUUAAAUGAACUUAAUUUGUAAUUUAAACAAGCUAAACACUUUUUUAAAGAUAAUUUGAAAUUAUAAUAGCUAAAAUUAAAUUUAGAUUUAUAAUUUAAAGUUAAUUUUCAAACAUGGAAUCGUUUAGUUUAAAUAGUUAACAAAAUUUAUUUUUUUAACUAUAAUAUAAACUAAAUCUAAAUUUUAAUUUUAAUUUUAAUCAAUAUUUUUGAAUUUUAAUGUUGUUUUUACUAUCGAAUGAACAAUUUAAAUUUAAUUUUAAAAAUAGAAGCCUUUAAUUUAAAUAAAUAAUAAAAGUUAUGUUUAUAAAUACAAAAUAAUUUACAAUUUAAAAUAAGUUAAUAUAUUUAAAAUUUCGUGUCAUUUAAUAUCAAAUUAACCAUUUGAAUUGAAAUAUACUAUUCAUUUAAACAUAAAUUUUUUCGUUCUAAAAAUUAAAAUUAAAAUUAAAAUUGAAUUUAAUAUACACAAUUAUAAAGUUUAAAUAAAGAUUUAUUAUUUAUCAAUUUAGCAUUUUCUAAUUUGGUAAGUAACAAAAUUAAAUAAGGAAACAAAUAUUUGUGUAGGGUUAAUCAAAUUUAGUAAUUAGCUUUUAUUUGUUUUCCCAUAUUACCCUUACGAAUGGUAACCUGUUGAGCAGGUAACUAUUAUGUAAAAGUCAAUCUCACCCCUCAAAUAUGAACAGUUAGAUUUAAUUUACCUGGUGUAUUGAAGUAUUUCUCUAUAUUUAAAAGGAAAUGGCAUUAACAAAGAGUAGUUGGUUGGUAUUUUUAGGUACCUUUUUCUUUUUCGGCUAGAAUACAUAAAACUUUAGUAAAAACUCAUUCUAAUAUAUUUUUUUAUUUUUCCAGAUAUUUUUUUAUCUUAAUUAUAAGAAAAAAUCGGAAUAGUGACGGAAACCUAAUGGACAGUAACACCGAUGCUCUCAUGCAUAGUAAAUAUAUUAGAUAAAUCGAUAUGCAAAAGAAAUGUAAUAAAAAAUAAUAAUAUAAUAGACAAAAAUAUGGCUAAAUUAUAUAAAACAUCCGUAUAAAUACUUUCUUUUUUUACUUUUUCCUCCCUAACUUUCAAAAAUUUAUAUUUUACUCUCUCAACAUUUUAAAUUAUUGCAUUAGUCCUCCUCCGUCAAGGUUUCAUUAUUAUUUCAUUCAUUUUUUUGUCAUUUUACCCUCUCGAUUAACGUCGUACUCCUGUGAAAUAUUUUUGAAACUUAAAGAAGGCAAAAUAUAGAUUUUUGAAAAUCAUAAAAAAAAAAGUAAAAAAAUAAAUAUUUAUAGAAAAAUUCUCUGUAAUUUAAUGAAAAAAAUAAUUAUCAAAUGGCGGAUGUAAAUAUUGAAUUUAAAUCCACUUAAAAUAGAGAUUUAGAUAUAUGCUUUCAAAAGAUCGAGCGCCUCUUAACAAAAGUCACACCUCUUAACGGUAUCACUUAAUUUUUUCUUUUUUUGAGAGAGAAAGCAGCAUUGCUAUCCAUUUUAUUUAAUUUUAAAAAAAAAAAUUAGCUGAAAAUAUAAAUUAAUUAGAAUUUGGAAUUUAAAAUCUCAAAUACGAAUUAUCAAGUUCUUUGCCAUUUAAUUUAGAGACGGGCUUUUUUUGUAAAUAGCCUCCUGAUAAAUUUUAUUUGCAAAAAUAGUCCCGUCCAAAAAUUAUUUGCAAAAAUGGCCAUGCCCCUGCCACGCCAGCGCCACGUCAGCGCCACGCAGGCAGGGCGGGCCCAAAUGUUUAAGUUGAACACGGUGAACCAUUCACCGUGUUCAAUAUUGGACACGGUGAAUGGUUCACCGUGUCCAAUACAAAUACCCCAACAAUGACUAAGUUGGAGGUAUUUGUAUUAGACACGGUGAACCAUUCACCGUGUCCAAUACAAAUAUUUCGACCUUAGCUAUUUUGUAUUGGACAUUCACCGUGUCCAAUACAAAAACUUUGUAUUGAACACGGUGAAUGAUUCACCGUGUUCAACUUAACCAUCUGGCCCAGUCCCGCCCGCGUGGCGCUUGCGUGGCGAGACCAGGACCAUUUUUGUAAAUAAAUUUUUGACGAGAUCAAUUUUAAAAAAAAUUUUUGUAAGGGGGCUAUUUGCAAAAAAAGCCCUUUAGAGACGGUUGGUGACAUCACUUAAUAUUGUAUUCAAGUUUCGUGUGAGUGUGGAUGUUCAAGCACACUCAACUAAUUUAUACUUUUGUUACGGGUGGCAAAGUAUAAUUUAUAUAUGGUGGCAAAAUGCUAUAUUAUAUCGUCAUAGAGUUUGUGAAAAAUAUUAAUUUACCGGUGUUUAACAACAGUUUUUAGGCCAAAAAAACAUUAAAAUUAUAAAAUAAAGAUUCAUCUAUAUUACUAUCAAUAGUAGUUGCUUUCUGCUUUUUAGCAUUUGGAUUAUUUAUUAUUCCAACAAUCCCAUUAAGGACAUGUUUGGUUCAUGAUUGAAAUAGAAAUGAAAAAUGGAAUGGAAUUGUUUUGAAAUGGAAAAUGGAAUGACGAACCAUCCAAAAAUAUUUGGUUCAUUAUUGGAAUGGAAAUUGAAAUGAAAAUUUAAAAUUUUUUAAAGAGGGUUUUGAUUAAGAGAGAGAAAAGUGAUGAAGGAUGAGGUGGUAAGUGUUGAUGAAAAAGAAUUUUGAAUAGUUUACUUUGGAAUGAACCAAUUCGGGAUUCAAAGCCGGAUUGGAUCAUAAAUGGAUUUGGCAAUUCCCAUUCCGAAGUGGAAUGGAAAUCGGAAUCCCAUUCCUAUAAAACAAACGGCAACAAUCGGAAUCAAUGAAUUCCAUUCCGAUUCCAUAGUCUAAUAGGUGAACCAAACAUACCCUAAAUUCAAGACAUCCAAAACUACAAAGUAGGAAGUAUUUUAUAUAUAUAUAUAUAUAGAGUCCGGCUACUAUACUUUUAUGAGUAUUGGCUCCCUUAUACUCAUAAGUUUUUGGCCCUUAGAUUUGUUUCAUUAAUCAUUUUCACCCGUUAGAUCAUACUAUUCAACCAACUACCGACUAAACCCUAGGGAACCACUGUCAUUUUAGGUGGAGACCACCGUUAUCCUAACCACACAUCCCAUCAAUUAACGGUUAAAAAUUUAAGAGUACAAGGAAGUCUAUACUCAUAAGAGUAUAGUAGCCCCAGCCUAUAUAGAGUCCGGCUACUAUACUUUUAUGAGUAUUGGCUCCCUUAUACUCAUAAAUUUUUGGCCCUUAGAUUUGUUUCAUUAAUCAUUUUCACCCGUUAGAUCAUACUAUUAUGAGUACGAUCGCCCUCGUACUCAUAAGUUGUUUUCGAUGAUAGAACUUCCGAAUCGACGAUCCACACUGUAAAACGUUAAUUACAACAUUUAAAACUUCUAUAAAUCAAAUUUUAUAAUUUUUCGACAUCAUUUACCUUACGAUCAAGAGGUCAUAAAUUUGACAAUUUUUAACGGCCGGUAUGGGAUACUUGCUAGUUUAACGGUGUAAAAAAAUCGAAAUUUGUUGAAAUUUUGAUAAAAAUUUCUAUUCACUACAUAGAUAAAGAUCAAUAACUCCGAUCUUAAAUUGAAGGAUCCGAUCAUCCUUUUUUAAGGACGUCGUUCGAUUUUGACCGUUCAUUUUAUGCCCACUUGAUGGACUUUAUUAUGAUUUCGAAAAUUUACGGAAUUUAUUUUCUAGAAGUUUCAAAUACUCUAGAUCAUAUUUAACGAAGUGGAUCGUCGAUUCGGAAGCUCCAUCAUUGAAAACAACUUAUGAGUACGAGGGCUCCAAUACUCAUAAUAGUAUAGUAGCCAUGGCCUCUAUAUAUAUAUAUAUAUAUAUAUAUAUAUAUAUAUAUAUAUAUAUAGGGUCCGGCUACUAUACUAUUAUGAGUACGAUCGCCCUCGUACUCAUAAGUUGUUUUCGAUGAUAGAGCUUUCGAAUCGACGAUCCACACCGCUAAACGUUAUUUACAGCAUUUAAAAUUUCUAGAAAUCAAAUUUUAUAAUUUUUUGACAUCAUUUACCUUACGAUCAAGAGGUCACAAAUUUUGAUAAUUUUUAACGGCCGGUAUGGGAUACUUGCUAGUUUAACGGUGUAAAAGAAUCAGAAUUUGUUGAAUUUUUGAUAGAAAAUUCUAUUCACUACAUAGAUAAAGAUCAAUAACUCCGAUCUUGAAUUGAAGGAUCCAAUCAUCCUUUUUUAGAACAUCGUUCGAUUUUGACCGUUUAUUUUAUGCCCACUUGAUGGACUUUAUUAUGAUUUCGAAAAUUUACGAAAUUUAUUUUCUAAAAGUUUCAAAUACUCUAGAUCAUAUUUAACGGAGUGGAUCGUCGAUUCGAAAGUUCUAUUAUCGAAAACAACUUAUGAGUACGAAGGCUCCAAUACUCAUAAUAGUAUAGUAGCUAUGGCCUAUAUAUGGGUCCGGCUACUAUACUAUUAUGAGUACGAUCGCCCUCGUACUCAUAAGUUGUUUUUGAUGAUAGAGCUUUCGAAUCGACGAUCCACACCGUUAAACAUUAUUUACAGCAUUUAAAACUUCUAGAAAUCAAAUUUCCAUAUAUAUAUAUAUGGAAAACUUCAAAAACCUCCCAUUUAGUUUCGCACUUUCUCACUUUAAUACACUGUGGUUUAAAGUAUAUCAAUUUACCUGCCUGUGGUUUCGUUUUUCUCUUUUUAUUAUCAAUUUUAUUUUUUUUUUCUUAAAUCAGUGACAAAGUUAAAAUUAAAAGGUGUUAAAGUAAAUAUUCGAUAAAUCUAGAUGGGUAUUUGAAGUUUUUUGUAUAUAAUUUAAUAAAAUAUUAAGAAAAAAGCAGCCGAUCGAAAAAAUAAAAACAAAAUCACAGGGGAGCAAUUGAUACAUUUUAAACCACAGAGUACUAAAGUGAGAAAGUGCGAAACCACAGAGGGGGUUUUUGAAGUUUUCCCUUAUAUAUAUAUAUACAUUUCUAUCAAAAGUAUUCUAAUUUUGUUUAUAAAAUAAUUAAGUGAAAUAUAAAGUUAUAUUAUAUAUAAUAGGAUUAUUGUGUUAUUAGGAGCACAAUAGUUCUUAUAUUCGUAAGCUUCUAAUUAUUCAUUAAUUUUGAUGGAUAGUUAGAACGAGAGAAAAGAAAAAUUUGGAAGAAAUUUUUUAAAGAAAUUACUUAUCUUCUUAGAUUCGCUGAAAUCAAUAAUAAAAAAUAAGUUUUUAAUCCUAGCUAUAAAUUACUCAUUUUAUUUUUCCUAUAUUUUUUAAAAAAUUAGUAUCGGUUAACUCUAAAUUCAACCAUCUAAGAAUUCAUAACAUCUGUUUAAUUUGUUUGCAUUAAAAAAAAAAAAAUUUGAUAAGACUUGUGAAGCCUUGCGGCCUUGCAGGCCUUUGAAUUGAAUAGAAGUGUAAUAUUUACAAGCAGAUAACGUUUCUCUAAUUUAAAGUCUCUUCUUACAUGCCGUUUAUAUUAGUUAACCAAAAAUGGCCCCCUCAACUUUUUUAUUUUGAUUGAGAUUUUCUCAACGACUAAUUUUUUAUUUAUAUUUUUAUACUUUGUUAAGUUAAAAAAAUCUAUCAAAUUUAAUGGCUCUCAUUAGUUAAAAGUUGUUAAAUUUAAAUUUUGGUAAAAUUACUAAUAAACUUGAUAAAAUUCUAAAAAAUAUUGUUUGAAAUCGCUUAAUUAUAAAAACCUAGAAGGUGAAAGGUCCCAAUCCCCUACCCAAAAAAAAAAACAGAAAAAAAGAGGAGACUAUUUCAGGAUGAGCAAUUAUAUUAUUGGUUAUAAUUAAGCUACCAACAUUGAAAACAACAUAGAGUAUACUUUGUUAAUGAGGUGGACAAGGUCUAGAAAAUAAUUUUUCCUCGAGGUUUGAGAGCAAUGAAAACUCUACUGAAGAAGCAUUUAGGAGAUCAAGCUCGCAAAAUAAUUUUUCUUUUUUUUUGUUUUCAUAUCUUUUUUUUUUAUUUUUAAGGAAGUAGAAUCUUCUUGUUGAUUAGUUCUUCAAUUGCAAACAUUAUUUGAUUAAUUAGUUUAAGUCAAACUCUGUACAUAUAAACCUCCCUUAAUUCAACUUGAAUAGAAAAAGUAUUUAGAAUGCAGCAGUUCUAUUAUUAUUUGAUGUAAUUUUCAUUCAUUCUUGUUAGGGAAAUAUGUGAGUGCUAGCAUAUAAAUUGGAUUCAGAAAACACUAUGGUAGAUGAACGUAGCAGAUUAAAAUCAGUGAUUAGCUACUUAUUAGAAUUCACAAUGCCCUUUAAUGCCAAUUCUCUCUCUCUCUCUCUCUCUCUCUCUCUCUCUCUCUCAACAUGUGAGGUUUCUGCGUCCCUGCAAACAUUUAGGCGUGGUUUGAUACUGUAGUGGUCAAAAACACAUGCUUUCGUAUUUUGAACUAAUUUUUUUUCUCCUCCGAUAUCAUAAAACUACAAGAAUUAUUCCAAUAAAGAAGCAAACAAUUUCCAGCCGAAUUUUAUUUUAUAAUAUUAAAGAAGAAAAAAUUAAAAACACAUUCGAUUAAAGAUUCUAAAGCAUAAAAUCGGAUGCUUUUUGAAAGCGCAAUCCCCAAUUAGGCCUUAAUCAAGGACAAGACAGUCUUUUUCCACCUUAACAAAGUUGUGAUACUACCUACCAAAGUACCAAGGAAUAAAUCACAAGGCAUAAAGGCAACAAGCUUUACAUAACUAGUAAAACUAACUAUGAGCUUAAUAUUAAUCCUGUUUUAUAGGGAUGCAUCAACCAUGAGAAGCUUCCACUUCUCUCUGAAGUGUCAAACACAAGCAAUUUCUCUUCUACUCAGGAACCAUUUCUGUUCUUGUUUUGAUCUGUGCAUGCAACAUCAAGAUCUACAGAGCGAUAAACUAAAAACCCUCACUAAAUACAAACCUUUACCCAAAAACCAAAUGAAGAAAGGUUCAUACUACAUAGUGCUCUACACAAACCUUAUUCUCUCUAACCUCUCAAAAGAUCCCAAAGAAUAUAUAUUACCUUGUUGAAUCGACGUGUAUAUUAAUUUGCGAUUGGGGAUUUUGUUACAGCACCCUCUGGGGCAAAAAUUUCCCAGCAUCCCCAGCUGAUGGUUUUGAAAUUGAGGGUGCACCCACCGUAUAAGAAAAGAACAGGUGGACUGAAAAGUGCCUUUUCAUUGCAGCAAAUCUAAAAUAGGUGGCUGCUCUGAUGAUGCUUUGGAUUGAGAAGCCCGCGAUAGUCUUGACAUCCCAGAUUGACCUUGGAUUCUACUGCGCGGCUUCGCGACAGCUGAAUGGGGAGGUGGGGCAAGUCUAGGAGUGGGUUGGGUGCUGUUCUUCGAGGAAAAUAUGGAUCCGAGGUCUGAUGUUGUUUUUCCAUGACUGGAACUAUUAGAAUUGGCGGACACCAUGCCCGUUGAAGAUAAAUUCGAAUUUCCAAGGGCUAAACCUGAAUUCCCGUAAUUUGAGGGCCGUAGAAGAUUUGAGCCUGGGCCGCUAAAAUUUUCUUGUUUCGAUAGGCUGGUGAGACCAAAAGUGCCACUCAUUGUGGAUAAUGAAUUUGCGGUGCUUUGAUGAUUUGGCUUAACCCCAAACCCAAAAUUAGUAGAUGGAUUGUUUGUCUUAGGUGGCCAGUUGGCGAAAGGAUCCAAAUCAUUGAAUGCACUAUUGCUUGAAGAGUUCUGCUCCUCAUUGGCAUUUAAUCGCAUAUGUACGUUGCCGGGAGCACUUGCAGGGGGCCACUCGAUGUCUACAGCAGCACACGUAGUGGAAGCUGCUUGGCUGGGAGUGGAUGAAAGAGACUGAAACGACGGAGUUGCAACUGAGGUGGGCUGUGGAACUGCUACUAAUGACUGAUUGGUCUGCGUUGUGGAGUUAAGAGGGAGUGAAGGGGUGGCACUUUUCUUUGUAGUCGGGCCCCAGUCUUCGUCCCAUGAUGGGCCCGACCUUGUCGAUGGAUUCUGGGUCGGUCUUUUGGCUGGUUCGGAAUGAAGCCCGUUGGUUAACGGAGGUGAUACUCGGACUUCAGGGGUUCCGGUUUCAGUUACUGUCACUCCUCGCUUUUCUUCAAUCUUUCUGCAAGAAGAGAAAAUGCUGAAUAUGAGAUACUUAUAAGUUAUAACACACCAUAUUGUAACAGCUUAGAGUAAUUGCUUGUCUCACAUUGCAUUUUACAAGUUACUGAGUUUGAAUAGCAUAGGGCUUAUCCACCAUUUUCUUUCCAAAAACAAAACAAAGAUUUACAUUUUUGGCUCAUUAAUAAUCACAAGACCAGACAUUGGAGAGUGUUGCAUAUUCACCGUUCUCUAAAGUUUAUAAGGUUUUAGGACUCUUUGCGUGUCGGAACAACAUAUCAAGUAAUAUGCUAUUCGGUAUCAGGAUUUUUCUAUUUGUGAUUAGAAGUUAGGAGUGAGAUAAAUAUCAAAAUGGAAAAGCAUAUUCAACUUUCAAGUUAUUUUUUCAGAAUAAGAUAAAUCAUCUCGUCAGUGAAAUAUACUGUCCUACCAAAUUAUACAUGUCCAGACCUUUCAAGGAGCAAAAUCAAACUCCUAUGUUCUAAUUACACAAGAAAAUCUUCAUGCCGAAUAACUUAUCAUCGGAUAACUUGUUCUGCAAUCCAAACAAAGCCUUAGAGAAGUCAUAUCAGUUCAUAUAAGCCAGAAUGUGUGUAUCAAAGAAAAGAAAUUAAAAAAGGAUUACAUUGGUACACUUGCAAUACCUUAGGAUAUCCUUGACGAAGAGCAUAUACUUGGCAAAUUGCUGUACAUUCAACUGCUGAGCGGUAAGAAGUGGGAAGAUAAUGGGAAGUACAUGCUCUGCGGCAAAUUCUACGCCAUACUAUUAGACAUUCAGAAAGAAAACUCAGUAACAGUCCAAGUAUGUUAAAUAGAAAAUGAAAAGUCAAGUCAAAUAAGUUCAAAUGGAUAACUCAGUGAAAAGUUUCAAAAGCGUAAGCAGAUUUAGGCUUUAAAAUAUGUAUCUAUGCAAAAUCAUCUAACUAAGGUACAAAGCACAAACCUUGUAAAAUUUUAAAUUUUGAUACAAAACCCUCGAUGUAUAGUUUCUGAAAAACUACCUUUACAUUAAGUUGGGGAAUCAUCCAAUCCACAAGGAAAAGGUGGUUACUUAUUAGAAAAAGCUUGUACCGAGGGGCUUUUGGGGACUUAAAGGUAAUAUAGAUGAGCAAAUUAAGUUUUUGAAAAGCAUGCAUGGAAACUCAGCUAUUGCAGGCAUACAAUUGUCAAUGGGUACUUUUGCUGGGGUAUAUAUGUAUAUAUUUCAUAAGUGUUUGCAGUAGUUACCUGUUUAAAGAUUGAAUUUGCAACUCCCAAAGUACACAUAAGAGUAGGGGCAGAGCGGUCUACAGCAGUACAGCGCUGAAGCGUCUGCAAGAUGUCUGAUAUUGCCUGCUUAUCGAGUGAAGGAACAAGAUCUCCUAAGCAACGGAGGGCAUUCACUCUCACCUAGUUUUUGCACAGAAACAAAAGAACGGCUAAAUUAUUCUACCACAUAAUUAAUCUGACUAACUAGAAGACAUAAACAUAAAUGACUCAAAAAAUCAUUUUUAUGCAGAGCACUAAAUAAUGGAUUAAUGUUAUAAAAUAGGCACAUCUCUUCAAGAAAAUCAGUGCAGGAUCAGCUUUGCAACAUUUUGAAAAUUAUACAUAAAAAUCAUCACAGAGACUUAGUAAGACUUCCACAUACCGCAGCAACAGUAGUCUUUAGAGCCAAGCCAUGAACCCGGGGCAAGAUGGCCUGCUUCACCAGCUACAAGAAUGAAACUUAAGCACAUUAAUAAUUUUCCUGGUCUACAAAGCAUAUAAAACCUGAGGUUCUAAGGAUCGCAUAGACAAUCAGAUAACGUAUUGCAUGGAAUUUCCGUGAUCCAAGGUGAAAUUCUUCACCUACAAAGCAUUUAAAAGCUCACGUUAUAAGGAUCAUAGAGACAAUCAGUUAACGUAUUGGAUGGAAUUUCCAUAAUCCAAGACGAAAUUCUUCUUGUAAGAGGAAUGACUAAAUUAUUUGCAACAGCAGCGUAUGCAAUUCUACUGACAAACUGGACCUCAAAAUAGAUAUCCAAGCAAAAGAGUAGAUCAAAUAUCAGUAUCACCACAAACAGAUGUCCUUGUAGUUCAGAGUAACAGAGUACAUGAAACAAUUUACAGGAGCAAACAAGGUUGUAUUUUACUUCCAAACGCGUUUCAUAUGAUUAUAUUCUCAGUAACCUAGUUGUUGAUUGAUACACAUUCGCGUGUCAAGUUACCUGCAUUUCGAGCUGUCUUGCAAGGGGAACUGUUCUUCGGAGAACCUCCUCUUGUAUACGAGGAUCUGUGUCAUCAUAAGCCCGAACAAGCAUUGGUAGAACAUGGGAUAUCAAGUGCUCUUGAGUAGCCUACAAGAAAGGAAAAUAAAUAAAUGCAAAAAAAGACACUCAUGCCUGCUUAACAAAACCGAAUUAUCAAUUUAUCUUUUUACACAGCAACAGAUGGAAUAAACAUAUGUAUAAAAAAAGUAACAUAAUUAUCCUCAAUACAGUAUUUUAUCUGGUUAAACUAAGCAGAUAACAUAUAACUAACCCACAUUAUCAAAAAAUGCAUUGGUAAAUAAUCAACAGCAGUGAAAAAAAACUCCUCCAUUCUACAUGACACCUAUGAGGUAAUAGUUGAUCUUACAUGGCUAUCCCAAAAGUUAUGCCAUGCCAAAUCUGUUCUGUAUCAGCUAAUGUGAUCACUAAGAAAAAUAAGCCCCUUACUAUACAGUUUUCAUGUAUGUUAUGUCAUAUGCGGAUGCUCUAUUCCUUUGCAUGAAUUGCCGGUUGUAUGAAUAUACCUUUCUCAAUUUCCUUUUAUUCAAAAUCAACAUCUCAUAACAAGAAAAAAGUCAGCUAAACUUAAAAACAUGACGUUCUAGCUCAUAAAUUUAAAAACAAGACCUUAUUGUAGUUAAACAUACACAAACCAGCUCAAAAAGAAGCCCAACUCCGAACUUUUCACACAGGAUGAAUAAUUUCACUACCUUCUAUAAACAUACUAAAAAAAACACAAGACAAAAGAUAAACACUUGAAGGGUGGAGGCAGGCAAUUUAUCCUAUGAUACUCAUUACUCUAAUAGACAAUUGAUUUAAGUAUCAUAUCUAGCAAAAAUUAGAAAGGCACAAUUCUUGGAAGUAUGGAAAAGGAAAACUUCAAUUACCUUGUGAAUAAUCAGAUCGGCAUGCUUUACAAGAAGAAGAAGUGUUUCACCAGAAGCUGAUGUUAAGACUGGAACAAGUGCAGGCAAUGUUGAAAGCUCAAAGUCACUUUUAUCCUAAAAGAGUAAAGAUAACAGUAAGUUCAUUAGCACAACAUACAACAUGAGGUUUCGGCAAACUGUUAAACCACACUAUAUUUGUAGUUCUCAGAAAAACAAGAAAUAGGCAAAUUUUUCAGGAAAAUAAAUAGCUAGCAUGUCAAAAGAAAAAUACCUGGGAUUCUGCUAUUGUCAGAACCAUGGGCAAAAUCAUUGGUUGCAUCACAGUAUUUCGAAGCUCAGCACAAAGAGGUGGCAGAACCUGGGUGCAAUAGAGCAAAUAAACAAUUAAUUAGGCAAACAUAACACUUGGGAUUAAGAAAUUAUCUAAAGACAAUGGAGUGAUGAAACUAUUCGUUACAGGGGAACAUGACGAGAAGAAAGUAGCUUUUCGAGAAAAACAAGAAAAAUGCAAUCAUCGAAAGUUGAAAGAAUUUUUCAAUAACACAUUUCAACACUUAGGUAGGAAAAGACACAUCUAUGAUCAAUUAAGAACAUCCAGUAAAAAUUUAGUAAGCAGCGUUCGGAAAGGACCACAUACAUGCAAUACUCAGUUGCACUAUCAGAAGAUUUAGAACUUGGACCAAGUAGAAAAAUUUACAGAUAGAGAAAAUUCCAACCAAAUGACAAUAAAGGGAGAUGGAUAAGCAAGACUUCUUCACUAUAAGGAUAUCCUAACCCUUAAACUCACAAUGAAAGCAGUACAAGAUAAUGCAUGGAAAGCUAUAUAGCAGAAAACACUUUCACAUAAAAACAAAAGAAUUCAGACCUUAUACCGCAAGACACGUGCAUCAAAAUCUUUCCACAUGUCUGAUAGAGCCUUUAAAAACUCAGUCUUCUGCAUAUUGUCCCUCUCCUACAAAAAAAGGUAAAUGAUCAAUUAGCAAUCUAAGUUUAGCCAUUGCCAUAUCAUUUUCAUUAUUGGAACUCCAGUUACAAGAAUUUGAAAAUAAUGAGGUAAACAAUCAUACAAGCAAAUGGUCCAGAAAACGAAGAGCCCGCAACCUAGUAUCAUCUCGGAAGAAGGAAGAACCUGAAAGAAGAAUUGAACAUUCUUGAGAAACCAGCAGUUCAAUGAUUACCAGAUCAAAAGUUAACAGCUAAACAUCAAACCCCAGCUAUUCGCUUGGAACCUGAUAUUAUAUGAAUUAUAGAUACUGAAUUGCAUAACUCUCUGGUUUUAAAACCACACUGAAAUCUCAAAAUUCCAAUUUUAAAAAAGAAAAGUAACACAAUUGAUGAUGAACACACAUGUUUUUACUACACAACAAAAUACCCAUUUACAUGGAAGGGGCAACAAAAACUUCCCCUAACUGAUUUAUUAAAAAGAACUAUUCUAAGUUAUGAUUUACCUGUGAAGUCCAAAGCACUCAGCCUGGAUGCCUCGUCCAUGGAAAGCAUCCGUUGCAAAUCCAUAAUCAACUCAGCAGGAAUAUUUGAAAAAGCUUCACUUGUGAAGUACAUCAAGGUGUUUGUAUACUGUAAAAGAAAAAAAAACUAAAGAGUAUAAAUUAUGGAAGAAGAACAGAGAAUAUCUAUACUCUGCAGGUUCCUGCAUAUAGUACUCCUUUAAACACAUAUAAGCUUUCCUUCUAAUUUAACAUUAAGCAAUAUCUAACAACGAUAAUUUACUAAAAUAGCAUAUCAUGUCAAUUCAAAGGUCAGAUAGAACCAAGGAUUGCCCACGGUGCCACAAGACAUGCCAAUGUCAGCAAGCUCCCCGGUGCCAGUGGCACGCCACUGAUACAUUGGCACACAUUGGUACAGAAUUUUUAUUAAAUUUUCAGAAAAUAAUAGCUUUUCAAAUUGUUUUAAUAUCUCUAGUAGCUAUAAAAAUGGCUCAACUAUUAUAUCUCACACAAUUUAGUAAGAAUAGAGUCAUAAAAACUGUAAUAACUAAAAAAUAUUUUAUAUAUAUUGAAAGUGCAUGCAUGAAAACAACAAAAGUCAUAAUUGGAUAAAAAUUUAUAGAAAAACACUACUAUAAGCAAACUCACUACAUCUAAAAAGAUAAAAAAAAAAAAAAAAAAAAUUGGAGAUCUUUUUUGUACCUUUCUUCACUAAAAGAUGAUCUCAUAUGCAAUUGAACUCACUAAUUGAAACAAAUGUUAAUAGAUCUACAAGAUUUACAUAUUUCAAAUAUGGAAAAACCUUUGUAAAACUUUUCACCUCAAAAAUACCUUUAAAAACUAAAAAAAAAAAUUGUCGGUACGGUGUCCGCACACGCCCGUACCACACCGACACAGCCUUGGCAAGGGUACAGCACAGGCAGUAUGGGGCGGCACAAGCAAUCCUUGGAUAGAACCACGACUAAACAUCAUACGCAAAACUGAUUCUCCAGAAAUUAAGAACUCCAAAAAUAUGAGUAGAAUCAUGAGAAGUUAAGAAUACUAUCAUUUAUCUUUAAAUUUGAGGGUGAAAAUCAAUGGAAGGUUUCAAAGCAUUGCUUUUAAGUUUUCAUUCAACAGGGAUCCUUAAGUUCCAAUUUUGAAAGUAAAGGUUUUGGCAACAAGUCGAGAGGCCUCCUACAUUUGCAAUGGACUGGAACAACUAAAAAGUAACUAAAUCACCUUUAAUAAAAUGCAAUUUGUAACUAGACUACAUUCAUUACCAAAAUAGCUCUUUUCAAUGUUGUCGUUUAUCAAAGAGGUCACAAAAGAACAAAAGAAAUUCCAAUCAAAGUUGGCCCUAUAUGUUUAUUUUGUCUGGUUUAAAUCAAGAUUAUAUUAUUAUGCCCCCCUUUAAAUAAAUUUAAACCAAAACCAACACAUUCUUGUUUUGGUUCCUAGUUUAGGAUAGGUGCAGCUCAAAACCAAAACAGCCGAAACUUCAACCGUGCUAUCAAUCCAUUUCAAACUAUCAACUUAGUAAACUAAUUCAAUUUAGUAGUGCCAAAAGAUGCGAGCAAUUCACCUAGAGGGGCAUAGGACAUCAACGCCACCAUCCAAAUUGACAAAGACACAAAUCCUAAACAAGAAAAGAAGAUGAACUUUCCAUUUCCACAAUUCAGUGCACCUAGUAAAUCCUUAUUAAUACCCCAAAGAGACGGUAAAAACAAACUAGAGAAGACGAAUAUUAUAACAAAACAAAAAUGUUCAGGCAGACUUUAACAGUCGGAAGUAAUAAUAUCAAGAUACCAAUAAUAUAUAUAUAUAUAUAUAUAGAAAAUGAUUAAGAAAGAAAAGCAAUAAAAGAACAUACCAUUUUAACAUUGUUAUGACAGUCUAGCAGAGGUUUGCGAGUGAUCAGAUGGUAUGCAAGACAUCCUAAACUGAACACAUCACUUGAUUGACUGGCUGUAGGAGAAGCACUACGCACCAAUUCUGGGGCAGUAUAAUUCAGAGAUGGCUGAAGUGGCAAGAUAGAAUCCUCAACAUCAUACUCCUAUGUGAAUAAAUCUCUUUCCCGUUAGCAAUUUUUACACAGGAGAGAACACACAACAUAGUACGGAGUGAAGUGCUAAUAUACUAUGCUUUGACAACACUUGACCACUAACCGAAUAAUGAAAUUGCUGAGCUGAUGUCAAACCACCUGAGGUUUGGUCAGUAGAGAUUGCAAAACUAAACCCACCAAGUUUCCAAGCUCCACUUGAAGUAAUGAAGACGGUCUGCAACAGUAAAUUUCAGAUACUAAGAAAAGCUUGUAAAUUAAAGAAACAAUGCUUUUUCUAGAGCAACUGUAGCAAAAACAUCUAGUUGUGAAAUAUCUCCAAGCAUUAACAAAGCAAUGCAUGUUAAACGACCACUCCAAUAAGAAGGGAGUUUCUACUUUAAAAUGGAGCAGAUUAUUAUUAAGCAACAAAGAAAAAGAUUUAAAGGUCACCACAUGUUGCAGAAGCAAAAAUGUGAGGCUAAUACUAGUGUAUAAAGAGAGGUUAGUAACAAGAAAUACCACUCUGAUGAGCAAAUCCAUUUGUAGCAGCUUGAACUGACUAAGAUCUAGUCAAAUUCAACUUCAAUCUGGAUCAAAACUGCAGAAGGUAUAAUCAUGCAGCAGUAACAAUUUUCACACAGAUUUCUUUAGUGGAUUUUCUUGUUACUACAGAUAGAAACAGAAUUUCGACAAAUUUCCUGACUUGUGCAACAAAAGUCUAUAGUCAGCAACAGCUUACCAUAGGUGCUAAAGCAAAACUUCAAGUUCGGUCAAGCAUGUUAGAGGUAAUGAAGCAAACACAGUAAAGAUCUUAAGUUGCAAGAAUUAGAAACAAUGGAAUAAAAUAGACCUCGGGAGAUAGAGCUCGAUGAACAAGACGAGCAUUAUUGUGAAGAAAAUCCAAAGUUUCCGCAACUUGAAGCAACCCAUGUUUAACCUCCAACAGCCCCAUUUCCUGUCCAAAAAAUAAAGUACAAAAAUAUAUAAUUAAAAAAAAAAAAAACAUGCAUAGAUGUUACCACUUUAACAGUAUCAUGGACCAUGAAGACCCCCAGAAGCACUAAAAUUGUGCCAUAUAAAUAAGUUUAUGGGAAAUAGCUCAGCAUCAAAUUGACUAUCUAUCCCUUCAGCAUCAAAUUGACUAUCUAUCCAAACACAGCCCAAUUAGUAUUCAUAAGAAAAGAAACAAAGAGCAAAAAGAAGCAUUUCAGAAGACAUGCAUUUCAAGCAAAAACAGGUGUUACAAGGACUCCCAACCGCAAGGCCCGGCCUAAAGAGCAAACAUAUAUAAAACAUGUAGGUGUUUCAUUACCUCCAAAUAAUAUAAAGUGCCCAAAGAGAAAACAUGGUUCAUUAAUCACCAUAUAUAAAAGGCAUUCUUACAUCCAGCAUUAAGACAGAUGCCAACUCAUACCGACUUGUUCUUUGCAUUAUUCAUUCACUCGCAUCAAAACUGCUUAUGGCGAGUAUAAUGCGCCCGAAUCACAGUCUAGUCACUGGAUUUCUCUCUACUCUCUACUCCAUCAAAUUAAACAUAUCCUUCUCCUUUCAUUGCUUAAAAAACCUAUAAAUAAAAUGUGUCCAUUCAAUUCAGUUCCCCCGGGUGCUUGAUCUCCCGCCCACCUUUUGAAUCAGAAAUGCAGUUAUGGACAUUUCAUUAAAUCAAAACCUUAUAAAUCCUACCUGAUUAAUCCAAUCAUAUAAUCUCGAAUAAUCAAUGGGAUUCAGAUACUAGCCCUAUCCCCAGCAAUCACAACAUUGAUUGCUACUGAGAUAGAAUUAACCCCCAGAUCAGAAAAAAGAGCAAGUAGUUUUAGAGAAGAAGAGGAUCAAGCAUAACAAGGAUCCGAAUUCAUCAAAUCCCUUCCGCCGCUACAGGACCUCCCACCCUUCGAAUGAGAAAUGCAGCUAUCCACACAUUCCACAAAUCAGAACUUUCUCGAUCUACCUUGAGUAAUCCAAUCAUGCAAUCUCUCAUAAGUAAUAAUCAUGGAUCUCACCUCCCUCACCCUAUCGGAACAUAGGUCGCUACCUCGAUCGAAUCGCCAAUUCCAAAUCCAGAUCCCCUGAUCUAGACGCAGAGAGGGAGUAGAUUUACGGAAGGAAGGAGAAGGAGAAGGAGAAGGAGAAGGAGGGGGCGGAGCGUACCAUGGACUUGAGCUCCUUGGGGGGGUUGGGGACGUUGUCGAGGGAGCCGAGGGCGUUGGCGACGGAGGCGAAGAGGGGCUCGGUGGCCAUGGCCAUGGCGUUCUUGGACUCGUCGAGGGCCUGGACGACGUGGAGGACGCCGGGGUGGCGGAUGCGGACGAGGCGGGCGGCGUCGGCGCGGGCGAGGUCGAGGAAGGCGUCCUCGGCGGCCUUGGAGAGGCCGGCGCGGGCGCGGGCGUCGGCGAGGGCGCGCUUGUCGAGGACCCAGACGGUGACGAGCGGGUAGGGCGCGGAGGGGGCGGAGGCGCGGGGCCGCGCCGCGUAGAGCCGCCACGCGAGCCCCGGCCCCCCGGACCCCACCUGCUCCAGGAGCUCGUAGUCCUGCAGCGGCCGCGGCCCCGUCACCUCCUGCACCGUCGUCGUCACCGUCUUCUCGAUCACCGCCGCCGUCUUCGCCAGCGCCUGCGUCAGGCUCUUCAUGUUCAGCGACAUCGCUCCACACCACCGGCGACGACGACGACGACGACGACGACGACGACCUACUGCUAGGGUUAGGGUUAGGGUUUGGGGAGUAAGAGGGAGGAGAGGGAAGAGGAGGAGGAGGAGGAGGAAGAGGAGGAGGAGGACGCCACCGACACGGGGGGAUCGAGAGAGGGAGGGACGUGUUUUUGUCGACUCCGCUGUCAACGCGGGCCUCGUUUUCUCCCUCUCUCUACUUUCUCUCUCUUCUCUCUCUCUCUAGGAAAUGGGUGGUGGGAGAGGUGGGGCGUUGGAUGCUUAAUUGUGAAGGACACGAGGCUGGUCCGUUUGAUCGACUAAUCAUAAUCAUUAUUAUUAUUAUAUUUUAUUUAUAAAAUAUUAUAUAUAUAUAUAUAUUAUUUAUUUAUUUAUUUAUUAAAUCUAAUGAUCAUCAUUGUUACAACUGAGUCCAUUGAAAGUACAUGAAUCCUGUGUUACAUUAUGAUUAUUUUCUAACUUUUAAAUUAAUAUUGUUUUUAUAAUAAAAUUACUAAAUUUUAAAGUGAUCAUUACCAUUCCAAUCCCAUAAUUUUUAAUCAAAAAAUUGAGAAAUUAAAAACCAUCUAACUUUUUUAUAAUUUCGAAAGUAUGGUAACUCUACAUUUAUUACUAAUCGUUUUUUACAUAUUUAAUUUGACCAAAUUUGAAAGGAAAAAAAUAUUAAUUUUACUUCUUUGUUUAAAUUAGUUGUUUGAUUUAUUUAUACAUAAGACUCGAUAAAAAAAAAUUUAAACAAACUUUUAUUACUCUGAGCAUAUAAUUUAGCAAAUUUGUAUUUUAUCAUCCUAUAAUAGAAAAAUAUAUACUUAAUUAUUUUAUUAUUUUUUUUACUGAAAGGACUUACUAUUAAAGACGGCGGUAGCAAAAUAAUAUUUUUAGUAAAGAAUGAUUAUAAUAUAAUAUUUUAAUAUUAAUAAUCUAAUAUUUUAUAAAAAUUAUCAUCUAUUAUUUUAUUUAGUAGUAUUUUUCACUUUAAAAACAAAAAUUGAAACGAUUGGGUAGUUUGAUGUUACUUUUGAAUCAUAGAACUGCCGAGUGAAAAUGUGCUAAACUACAAAAGGACAAAUUGAAGUUCACCAAAAAUUUUAUUUGAUUCAAUGGAACGUGUAUUGCUUUAAUUUACUAAUUUUAAUAUUAAUUAGAACCAAAAAAUUAAAAUCGGUUGGUAAUAUAAUAAAUGUUUUGAUUUUGAUGAAGUAUUUAAAUGAAAUUAGCAAAAUAUUCUUUUGAAAAAGUUUAAAAUAUUGUCAAACUAAUAUAAGCACCAGCUUUAUUCUAAUCAAAAUGCGUUAGUUCAAACACAACAACUCAUAAAGUCAUUACAUACUCAAAUCCCUCCAUUUUAAAGAGGGGAAAAAAAAAAAAAGCCUCACAAGUCACAACAAAUUGAGCAGCACAAAGCCUUAAGAUUAGAACAAUCGAAAAAGUACUACUAAUACUGAAUAUUUAAUGGGGUUCAAUCAAAAUUAAGAUUUGAUAUCUUAAUUGCCAGUUUGACGCAGCUCGGGGCGCACGAAGUCCGCAUCGGGAGGCACCGAGAUGUCGACGGUAGGACGCAAUUCGGCGCAAACUUCGAUCGCGCCGUGCACGGGGUCUGACAAGAAGUUGCUGAUGAGGUCUUGAUUGAUAGGGCAUUCCUUGUCGACGGCCACGAAGGCUUGCUGGGUGAGGAUGUAGUCGAAACGCGGGGCCCACUUCCGCGACCCCAGGCGGGCCGUGGUGGAGCAGUUGACCAUGAAGGACACCCCGCGCGCGUGCAUGAAGGGGUUGAGGGAGUCCACCGACUCGAUCACGCUCUCGUUGAUGAUCUCGGAGUAGGAGUGGCCCUUCUUUCUUAAAACUUCAAUCUGGAACAAGAUAGUCACAGAAGAAUCACGAAAUCGACGGUUUCGAUAUAUACUUUAGACCACUUCCAUUCUGCAAAAACAUGACAUUGUUUUUCUUUCUUUCUUUUUCUCCGAUUUUAUCUCUUUAUGGUCAUGCAGUGGAAGGGCCAUUUUGUUUUAAAGGUUGAAUUUGUACAGUAAAAAAGAAACUAUGAGACUCUGAAAGGUAAAACUUAUACCUGAGCCAUCAUUAGGGCCACAUAAACCCCGGCAGUAAAGGGAUGCAACGGGCCCAAGUCGCUUUCCGGGCGGACCGCACGAACCCGCUCACCGACUUUCCACAUUCGGGUCUGGUCAAUCUUACCCAUCGGGAAAGCCGGGAGCCCUUCCUUUUCCUGAAAACCACAAAGAGAGAGAGAGAGUGAGACUAGAACAUAAAUUGUGGAGUCACAUAAACAAAACAAAAUAUUGUGGAGAAUUAGAAGCUUUACAUAAAAUCGACGACCAGCCAACACGACGCUGCGGAUUUCACUACAACUCGUGACAUCUUCGUAGCACUCGUACAAUAUAUCCAUGCAAGGAUAAUAAGAUGCACUAUAACCAGCGUUGAAUUCCUUCUUCCCUUCCUCCGUCAAAGAGUUAUACACAGCAAGCAUCCCCUGAAAUCGAUACCGCACAAACUUCAGUGAAUUCACUUCAUGUAAUUUUAAGGGCUGAUUAUGAAUUUAGUCCUUGAAGUUCGAUUCUGAUUUCAAUGGACAUCCUCAGACUCAGUGCUAAUAAUUUAGCCCUUGAUGUUUGUUCGACAUGGCAAUUGAAGUCCUUCGGUUCACACAAACUUCAGGAGUAAAUUCGAAAAAAAUCAGAACUCUUAAGAAUGUAAUAUAAAGCAUAUAUUCAUAAGCCUCAUGACUCGCUUACCUUUGUCGAUAUUGUUUUUGAUAUGAUCCCUGUGAUACAUUCCACAGUGUUUUUGUAAGCUAGAUCUUCGCUCAUGCCGUUCUCGGUAUACCUUCUGAAGAGGGCCUCCACAAUUCCAUGCACAGCACCAAGUAAAAUGCCUGAAUGAAAAGAGAGAAGUCAGAAACCUUUCCAACUUAUGCAGACGACUGAUAAACAGGCUAUAAAAUUUCACCUCUUUCCCCAAAAAUGUCGCUCUUAUACUCCUGUUCAAGGGUAGUAGCGAAAGUGAAUGGAGAUCCAAGAGCAACCGACCAUCCUAAAGCAACGUCAGUGGCCCGGCCAUCAACAUCCUGUUGACACAAAACAAAACGAUUAAUACUAAAACCAUAGAAAAAUCUCUGUAAGGGGCUUUUAUAUAUAUCCCUACUAAAACAUCAGUUAACAUCUGUAAUUAUGUAGAAACCGAACUUUCAAAUAUAUACCCCUCUAAAGUACAUCUUCUUAUGUAAACAAUCUUAUGGGAGCCAAGUUGGUUUUGUACAAGAAAAAGUCUUUUAAACAGGUACAUUUUUUCUAAGAUUAUGAUACACAUGUAAAGAAAAUUAUUUUUUAAAAGAGCAUCAACAAAGUUAGGAUUUGUUAUAAACAUGCAAACAAUAAUUUGGAGGUGUAUAUGUGUGAAAAUAUAUCUUUGAAAGCAAAACUUUUACAGAGAAGUUGAAUCUUCAAUAGCUUCAAGCAGAUACCUGGUGGACAGCGAAGCUGGAAUUGAUUCCAGCGCCAUUGAUCUCUUUACCCUGAACAUACAGCCUUCUAACUGAAGGGCCCAUUCCCUUGGGGCACACAGCAAUCACGCUGAUGUUUUUAGGGAAAUCGAGACCAAAGGACUGCAAAUGCCCUAGAAGAAAUCCAUGAGACAAACCAAGGAUGCUGUUUGGUUUCAUGUGAGAGAGUAUUUUCUCAUAGUUGUCCGCCUACAGUGAGCAUUGAAAUCAUGAAAAGUUAAAACUUUAGUAACUUAUUGCUGGCUAAAAGAACUAAAACAGAAUUCAGGAUUCAGGAAGCCAAAAAUCACUAACAAAAGCAAAUACUAGAUAAGAAAAACAGUAAGCAUUUUAUGGAACUCGAUAUUUUCAUCAAAAGAUCUGUUUUCUUCAAGGACGGCAAUUAGCUUGUUUUAACCAGUGGAUGCUUCAGAGAAGGGGCAGAGAACUUCAUAUUAACAAAUACAAAAGAUAGUUUCCAACAGAGUAGCCAACCUGUGCAGCAUCAGAUAUCAACAGCAAUAAAAGAUCACUGCUUGAAACAGUCUCCCACAUGUCACCCAAAGUUCCAUUUUCUUCAGUGAAUCCAGCAGCACGUGCUUCCUCAAAAGAACGAGAACCUUUCCUAAGGCCAAUCUGCCAAUAUUCACAUCAGAAAAUGAGAGUCAGAGCACUUAAAAAAUGAAAAACAAAGGACAUGCCUUUUAAGAACGAAAGCAGAAAAUAAAGCACUUAGAAAAUAUUCAGAAAUAUCAAAGAAAGAAAACUUAUUUAUCGCUCUUCUAAAAGAUUCGGAAAUAGAAGAUAAAAGUUACUGUGCAAACUUAUUUAUUGUUUGUAAAAAUCCUUUAACAAAGUUCAUGCCAACAUACUUGGGCCUUCUACUAUAAGUACUUUUGAAAGAUAUGGUCAAAAUGUCAUACUUUGUACUUGGGCUUUCAGGUGUCAGAGCUCCCAUCUCUGCCUAGACAUUUUAAGAGCUUUUGCAGUAGUAAGUCAAAAUUACCACGUUCCAAUAUAAGACAGUAAGUCACUAACUUGGAGUCACUUUUAGUCACUUUUAUUCUAAGAACUUGUAAGAUGAUUUUCAUAUAACGACAACAAAUUCUUACUUCCUAAGUUUGCAAACAAUUCCUAAUGCAUUGAAUGCAGGAAGAAACCUGACCUUCACCACAAUGUCAGAGUUUGCCACAGCAAGUGAAUCCCUCAAAUUUUGUGCUUGGGCAGGACCCUACAAAAGCAUGUAAAAAUAAAUUUAGCUCUCAACUACUAGCCAGGGGUAAAACCAAAAUAGCAUAAGCAUUACUUAUUCACCCAGAAAAAAUUCUAUGCUGAUUCAAAAUUUUUAACUAUUGAGAAGAAACAUUAAAUACAGAGGAUACUACCAAAGUUCAAUAACUAGGACGAAAAAAAGGAGUUAUUUUCAGUUCCAUCUCAAGAAUUGAAAAGGGGAUGCAUGCAACACUAAGCUAGGAAUACACAAAGAGUCCAUAAUGGAAAGAAACUGGAUGUAUCAGAACCAAUCAAACAGUAAUGCAUAUCAUACAGUACGAUGUGGUGUGUAACUUACAAACCUUACUUUUUCUUUCCUUCUAGAUAGCUCACAUUACAAACAGGUCUGAUAACCUUCCUCGGAUGAAAAUCUUUCUCUUUCACUAAAAUAAAAGACAGUUGACGGUUUCUGCAUUAGUUCUCUCUUAGAGGGUGCUGGGUUCCAUAGAAAAUAUCCGAAAACUCUGUUGUUUGGUUCCUCGGAAAAGUGUGAAAAAAAGUUUUGCAAGGAAAAAGUUUCCUAUAGAAAACUUCAUUUUCAGUUUUUCGCUUGUUUGGUUCCCAAAAAAAACUAGCAUCUUAGUGUUUUUGUCUUCUGAAUUUUUUUCUAGGAAAUCGAAAACACUAGUUUUCCAUAAAAUUUACGAAAAUAACUUUCCAAAAAACUAUUUCUUUUUAGAACCAAACAGACGAAAAGUCAAAAAAGAAGUUUUCCAUAAAAAACCUCUUUUCAUGAAAAGAAAAUUUUUCACACUUUUCCCAGGAACCAAACAGUGCCUUAGUCCUCACUUCCAACUGUCCAAUGUUACACAGCUAGUUAAAAAGAAGGUUGCAUCAUCUAAAGAGGGAAUUAUAAGCUGCAUCGAACUGAGUGAUAAGCUGCAUUGAAUUGAGUGAGCACAUGCUUCGAGAGCUAAUCAAGCACUUAUUAGAUUAUACCAACUAACAUUUUCAAUACAUAAUAAAAUGAUGAUUAAAACCAAAAAAGAAUAAUUUGAAAAGGACUAAUCAAUCACCUGUGAUCCCCAUCCUAUCACACCAAUCUGUUUGAUCCCCUUGAAUGCGUCGGGCAACAAGUGGAACAGAUCCCUCCCACCUCUUACAAUAUACUGUUUAUAGAAAAUAAAAGAAAAAAAAAUUAUAACAUUCAGAAAAAAAAGAAAAAAAAAAGAAGAAGCUUUUGCAUGUAUAUCUUCCUCAAAUGCAUGUAUUUAUGCAUACAUAUCCUUCAAAAGCUUACUUCAGGAGUAAUCCUACCGAAUAUUCAGCAUUCUUGCUACUAUAGUACUAUGACACUACUUUAACUGCUAAAAAAAAGGGACAUUUGUGAAAAUUUUAGCUAUAAAAGUAGAAAUACACGUACAUUGAGAGGUAUACAUGCAAAACAAUCCCAAAAAUUGACCAAAAAAUGGGGGGAAAAGGGGGAUUAGAGGGACACCUCCUCAUGGCCCGCAAGGGUGAUCUUCUCCUUCUUAAACACCGAGGUCUCGAAGUCCAGGGUGGGAAAGGGCUUGGCAAUGGAGGGAGCCGACACCAUCGUCGCCCCGAGUGCUCCGCCGCCGCAUCCCCGCCGCUCUCCGGCGAUCCCCGGAGACGCAUCGGCGGGGAACCGGGAGAGGAGGCAGGGAAGGAUUCGGAAGUAGGAGGAGGAGGAGGAGGAGAAGCCCAAGGGCAGGGUUAUGGUUAGGGUUUUGGGAGCUGGGGGUUUUAGGGUUUUGCAGUGGGAGGAGGAGGAGGGGGCGAGCGCGAGGGAGGAGGAUGCGGCGGCCGCCAUUUUUGAGUAGAAUGAAGGGUGGCGACGAAGAAGGGAUCAGAGCCCGUGGAGUUAAAACGUGCGCACCUGACUCGUAGAUUUUAUGAGAGGGUAGCUUUUUUACAUGAUGGCCCCUAUUACUAAGUAAAAUUGUCUACAUAGCACUGUAAAAUCAAUAUUUAUGCCUUGCAAAUCCAUAUUUUCAUAAGAAAAAACUUUAAAUACUAUUUAUGUGGUUUCGUACUUCAUUAUUUUUAGUAUUUUAUGGUUUAAAGUAUAUCACUGUUGUACCUUGUGAUUUUUUUUUCUUUUUGUUAUUUUUCUACUAAUUUUUUCGUUAAAAUAGUGAUAAAGUUAAAAUUAAACGGUACUAAAGUGAAUAUUCUAUAAACUAUAUAUAUACCUGGCAAACGAGCAGGUUGGGUAACCCGUGGGUGGGUUAUUGUCCCCGUGGGUUACUUGGGCAUGAGUAAAAUUUAUCCGCAAAUUUUUGAGUAGCCAACAUCUUUAUCCAUGCCUGCCCGCGGGUGGGCAGGUGGAUAUGCGGGUUACCCAUAAUUUUUUUUUUAAAUUUUUUGCUCUUAUAUUUUUUAAAUACAAAACACAUAUAUAUAUAUAAAUUUUAAAAGCAUAAUAUAACUUAUUAUUUAAAAUAUCAUAAUAUACAAUAAAAAUAUUUAAAAUCUUAAAGCAAAAAUAUUUCAUAAUAUAAAAAAUACACAAUAAAAAAUUAGGAUUAGAAUUUUUAGGAUGGAUGAAUAAAAAAAUAUAUAUUAAUUAAAAAAAUAUAUUUUGUAAUUAAAAAAUAUAUGUGCGGGUACCCGUGGAUACCCGCGGGUUAUCCAAAAUGUCCACGACUUAAUGGGUACCCACCCGUUUUAUUCGUAAUUUUUUAAGUUGGAAAAGUUGGUACCCAUACCAGCAAAUUUGCGGGUAACCCGCGAGCACCCGCGGGUUUGGGUCGAGAUUGGCAGGUCUAACUAUAUAGGUGGGGCAUCUGAAGUUUUUUGUAUAUGAUUUAAUGAAAAAUUAACGAAGGGACUGACGAAAAGAAAAAAUAAAACCAUAGGAUACUAAAUUAAUACACUUUAAAUUAUAGGAUAUUAAAGUAAGAAAGUGCGAAACCAUAAGACUGGUACUUGAAGUUUACCUUUUUCAUAAUUUGGCCAGUUUGCAGGGGUAGGUAUGUAAAUAUGCGUUGUGAGAAAAUUGGUUAAGCAUCACCUGGUCACUAACAAUUAUAAAUAAUUACCAACUAUUUCUAAAGUAAGUGGCAAAAGAUUUGGUGGUUGUUACCCGAGAUCCAAAAUUUGAAUCCUAGUUAAUUCACAUUUUUAGCUAAAUUUAUUUUUAAAUUAAAUAAAACGAAGCGGAUAGCGUGCUAUCUAUCUUUAAAAAAAUAAUUAUAAAUAGUUCUACUCUAGACGUGAGCUUCCAUAUAUUUAAAAGGGUUAUUUGCAUACACGUUCCUACAAACAUAGUGAAUUGCAGAAAUAUUCCUGCAAAACGAAAACUCCAUAAGUUAUUCCUGCAAAAGUCUAAAGUUAUGCAGAUAUGUCCCUACCGUUAAGGACUGUUAGAAAAUUUUCGUUAACCACGGCUAAAGUACUUAACCAUGGUUAAUUAUAACGUAAAUUUACGAUUCUACCCUUCUUCUUCUUCCUCCCCUUCUUCUUCCCUUUUCUUCGUCGCCGGCGAGGGCGGCGGCGGCAGCGACGGCGGCGAUGGCGAACCCUCUCUCUUUCUUUUACUCCUUCUUUCUCUCCCUCUUCCAUUUUCUCCCUUCUUCUUCCUCUCCCUCUUCCUCUUCCCUCUUCUUCAUCGCCGGCGAGGGAGAAGAUGCGAUGGCGGCGGCAAACCCUCUCCCUCUCCCUCUUCUUCUUCCUCUUCCUCUUUCUUUUCCUCUUCCUCUUCCUCUUCCCUCUUCUUUGUCGCCGGCGAGGGAGGAGAUGCGGCGGUGGCAUACGGCGACGAACCCUUUCCCUCUUCAUCUUUCUCUUCCCUCUUCCUCUCCCUCUUCCUCUCCUUCUUCCUCUUUCUUUUUUUCUUCCUCACAUUCUUUCUCUUCCCUCUUCUUCGUCGCCGGCGAUCGAGCUCGACCCGCGCCGUCGCUGCCACCCGCUCCGGUGGCCCGAAGAGGAUGAGGAAGAGAAAGAGAAGGGGAAGAUGCUUUCGGAGGGAUAUAUUUAUGAGGGCAAAAUGGUCAUUUCACAUGAAAACUGUUAAAAAAUAAACAGUUCUCUAACAGAUGUUAAUCAGAGGGACAUAUCUGCAUAAAUUAGGACUUUUGUAGGAACAACUUAUGGAGUUUCUGUUUUGCAGGGAUAUUUCCGCAAUUCACUAUGUUUGCAGGGACGUGUAUGCAAAUAAUCCUAUUUAAAAAUACUAGGUCAUUAGUUAAGUUGGUGGUUAAUUAAAUAGUAUGAUCUAAUCGGUGGAAAUGCUCAAAGGGAUAGAUUUAACGGCGAAACUUAUAAGCACUGAAUGUUUCGGACGGACCCUCUAUUGUAUUCAUAUAAACUUUAAAUUCUAUAUAUUACACAUAUAUCCUUUUAAAUUUUAGAAUAUUAUAAAUAUUCUUAUGAACUUUAUAUUUUAGUUAAAAUAGUUGUUUUGCAUUUAUCCUAAUUAUCAUUUUUAGUAAGUCUCCAAUUAUAAAUAUAUUAUGAAAGACACCAAAAUAGAUUAUACCACCUUAAUCUAGUUACAAGAAGUUGGGCAUCACUGUUCAUCUCAAUAAAAACAAAAUAGUUAUCAUACUAAAAUAUAAUAAAAUUUAACUAAUUUAAAAAUGAAUUUAAAAGAUUUAAAAUUAUAAAUAUCCCAAUUUUGGAGGAAUAUAUAAGCCUUUAUUUGAGACAAAAGAAAAUCUUUGUACUAGGGAAAUCUAAUUACUAAGGUAAUAACAAAUAUUGCGACUGCAGUUUUCAAGUAGGUGAAAUCAAACACAUUAUUUAUAAGGGUUAAUUUUAUAUAGAUUCCUACAAAAAUAGUAAAUAGUAAAUAUAUUUCUAUAAAACUUAAGUUAUCAGAUUUAUUUCGUCGAAAAUUUUCUAAUUUACAAAUAUAUUCUUCCAAAAAUUCUAAUUCGUUCAUAUAUGUUCCCACCGUUCGAUUCGCCGUUAAUUUUUUAAUGAUGGGUGCAUAAAAUUACUAUUUUGUCUUUACAAAUUUGUCCAAAUAAAAAACUAUUUUUUCUCUCUCUCCUCAUGUUCGCCGCGGCGUGAGCGACCUACCUCAUUUUUGCCACGACCAUGGGCUUCGCCUUUGACGUCGCCGCCGAUGUAGAUCUCGCCGUUGCCAUGAAUAAGAGAGGAGGCUAGGGGUCAUAAUAAAAAGAAAAGGAUAAAAAAGAUGAAGAAACUCAAUAUUACAAUACAAAUUUAUAUAUAUAUAUAUAUAUAUAUAUAUAUAUAUAUAUAUAUAUAUAUAUAUAUAUAUAUAUAUAUAUAUGUGAGGUAAAAAUAUCAUUUUAAUUUUUAGCUAACUAUGAUUAUUUUUUUUUUCACUCAUGUUUAUCAAAAUUUUGACGAUAAAAGAAUAUAUUUACAGACAGAAAAUUUUUGAAAGUAUAAAUCUGUAAAUUUAAGUUUUGUAAGAAUAUAUUUGCUAUUUGAGAUCUUUACAAGAAGAAAUUAACCAUAUACAAUUAUCCGUAUUUAUAACUAUAGCAGUUUCAAUUACAUGUAAUCAAGCAAAAAUCUAUAACUUUUUACAGUCUACCAAACAAACUCCUGGUACUUACAGCAGAAAAGAAAGAUACAACAAC
rnacentral:lncRNA from 1 species